rnacentral:lncRNA from 1 species
UUUUUUUUUUUUCCAAAUGGUUUUAGUAGAGAGACAAUAAUAUUUUCCCCCUUUCCCCCAUCCAAAAUUAUGAAUGCUACAUACCCUCAAAGUUCCGCCUUCUUGAAGGUUUUCCAUGAGCCGUAAAACUUUAUAAACCAUCUCUAUCAAAUCUGCAAGAUCACUGACAAAGAAAACUUGUGAAUAUGAAAUAAAGGCAUUCAAACAAGAGAAAAAAUGUAAUUAAUUUUGGAAUAACUUGCUUUUGAUCAAAGACAAAUGGAUAUUAAAUCUCUUUUUCUUGGUACGUGUUAGAACAGUAGUAUGUUAAGGGCAGGUGUUUCUUGAUGGUCAGGGAAAAGUCCUACCCUGUAGAAUGCUGAAAGAAAAAAAAUCCUCUAAUCUUUCGUUAAAACUCUCUGAUACUGACACAACUACGAAAGAGAACCUCUCAACAGGAUUUCAAGUGAAAAAUCAUAUUUGGAAAUUUAAAAAAAGUGUGCAUGUGGAUACAAAAAGGAAAAAAAAAAGACCUUCUGGGUUGUUUGUGAGUGUCAAAUGAUUUGAGUAAAUUUAUGAGGAAGUGAGUCAUCCCCUCAUCAGUCUGAUCAUAAAAUAAUUUGUAGAGAAGUAUGCGAGCUGUCGGAGGCUCCUUGGAAUCUGCUGGCAAUAUCUUAAGCACCAAAUCUAGCAUGCGAAUCUGGAAGAAAAAUAAAUUAGUUAAGAAGCAUGUUGCAAGGGCAUGAUUAAAAUACAGCUUUUGAGAUAUGGCAACUUAAAAUAUGUCCUUCUAAUGGGCCCCUAAAGUGCAAUUGGUCCCUUUAAAAACUAUGUACUUUUUUUCAUCAUUCGUUACACCAAUGUCCCUUGCAUGGAAAGUAACUUAAGCCACAGAGAAGUGUUCUUGGAAAGUAAUGAAAUAAUUACCAUAUUUUUCAUGAGAGAACCAGCUGCAGACAAAAACUUGUAGUCAUGUGUUUCCUUCAAGCUAUCAUAUGCAUAACGCUAUCAUAUGUAUAGCGUUUCCUGAUUGUCGUGUUUUGAAGAUCUAGGUGAUGCUUUUGUUAGAUUGUGAGUAUGAAGCAUGUUUGAGGAUUAGCUAUAAUAUUGGAUGAAUUAUUGUAUGGAAAAGUCUUGGUAUGGUGUUCGGAUAAAUCCUAUUUCUUGUAGGAUUAUAAGUGCUUUUAGUGUUCUUUUGGGAAAAGGAUUUGGAUUCUGCACUGAUUGAUCUUGUGCACUUAUUGUGUGAAAAGGUUUUGUUUUAGAGUUCCACUUUCAUUCUAAUAGGAGAAUGAGUUGGAUUAACGCUAUAUAUAACCUCAAUCACUGCUCUUGCAAAGAUUACGGCUCAUCUUGUACUGAAUACCUAUUAUUCAGAGAGCUCUCUAGUUUUGCUAAAGAGGAGAAGAUUGCUUGGUUGUGAAGUUGCUAUGGCUUCUUCGAGUUCAAGUUCUGUAGGUAUGUUCAGAGGCGGAGCCACAGUGGGGUCAAUGGGGUCGCACGACCCCUUGGAAGCCAUGGAAAUAACCUUAGAGGUCCCUUGGAGCUGCUGGUUCGACCCCUUGGAGCUGCUGGUGCGACCUCUUGGAGCUGCACACCACUUGUUCGACGGAAUGUUUGAAAGAAGAAAGAAGGCAGCCUUGUUGCAGGUUGAAGAAGAAGGAGCUUGGAGCUGCACACCACUUGUUCGACGAAAUGUUUGAAAGAAGAAAGAAGGCAGCCUUGCUGCAGGUUGAAGAAGAAGGAGCCCGCGCGGGCUUUUUUUUUUUUAAAACGAACCUGGGCAAAACGACGUCGUUUUGGCCCAGGGAAUUGUGAAAUUGUGAAUUCAUGCACCCUAAAUAAUUUUUUUUUUUGUUGGUGCACACAUUAUUCUUUUUUUUUUAAAUUCUUUUUGAGUAUUCUCCUUUUUUUUUCAUUUUAACACCAAUUAUUUUGUUAAAAAUUAUUAAAAAUAUUUAUUAUUGUUCCAUGCACAGAUUAAUCCGACACUGCAUCAAACGCCCGACUAAUUUAGUCAGUACUAUCCGACGACUAUUUAUCUUAUCCGACUGAAAUAGUCAGUACAGUCCGAAGUACCAAACGAGGCUAAAAAAAAAUUUCGCGCUACGCGCACUAUCCUUAUUGACCCCUCAAACAUUAUUUCCUGGAUCCGCCACUGGGUAUGUUUUCCACUGGUUUUAUAUUCGAGUUUAUAGUUUUGUCAUUCAGUUUGAUUGUUGGAGUAUUGGUGAUUUACUGACAGUGGCAUAUCAAUGAUCUGUGAUAUAGUUCUUACAGCUUUGUGUUAACACAAUUUUUUGUUUCAUUAACUUGGUUCAGGUCCGGGGUAAUGCGAAUGGGUUGAGAACUCUCCCACACAGUGCUGCCUUAACUACUGUAGAUUGGCACCCGACGUUACCCAUCUUCUUAACAGGAUCAGCUGAUAACUCUAUCCGAUUAACAUCUUUGUCAUAAACGUUUCUGACUCUAUCUCCAUGUUCUCAGUGUGCCUGACGUUGAAUGAAGUUCACUCAGUGUGUUUGAACUGGUUUCGUUCUGGCUUUCAUCCGAGCAAUGUGUCUUGUAUUCGUAUGCAGGUGUAAAUCACGGAACAGAUUUCAUAGAGCAUAGCAAUUCUUUGAUGCACUGAUCUUUUGCCUUUGGGGCUGGGAAAUACCCUGUUUUAUUCAACUUCAUAUGAUUCUUGUCGGAACUAUAUUACACACGGCUAGGGCGCAACUUGGAUAGGAGAAUAUCUGAUUUCGAUCCAGAACAUUCCAAAAUAUUUUGACCAAUUAGAAUCUGAAAUUCCGAAUCCAAAAAAUCCGAAAAAAAAUCAUAUAGGCAGAUCGGGUCCGACUGAAAAUCAGUCCACACAGCAUGACAGAGCAAUCUAUUAUACACAAGCAUCAUAGUUGAUGACAUUUUAUAUCACAUUGCAUCAGGAAAAGACAAAAAAAAAAACACACUUCUGAUAUUACAUUGAAUCUAAAAGAACGAAAGUUGAGCCACUCGAAAUUUAAGUUUUGGAAUACACUUUUGCCCCAACGAGAGUUAUGAUAUUACUCGUCAUCGACUUUUUUUUUUUCCUGAUGAUCCUUGUGGUUCCAUAUCUACAAAGUCAACAAAAAAUAUCUUAAAAUUAAAGGUAAACAAAUAAAAAGCUUAAAAAUAAUGUUUCGGCAGUCUUCUACCGAAAUAUCUCAUUUAACUUGGAAAAUACAAACUAAUUUAAAGGGUGGAGUUCGGAAGUAUAUAACGAAUUAGGAGAGUAGAGCUUUACCGUUUACCUUUGAAAUCUCCCCUGCAGCUUUGCCUUCACAGGCAACGUUCUUCACAUAAUCCGAGCUUUUAUAUCAUCAAUGAAUCGGAAAUAGGCGUAUCUCCAAGACGUCUUGAGGACUAAAGUACCACAAACACUCCAGAAUCCUAUGAUAAAUCCAAGCGCCAAGCUAACAUAAAAUCCCAAGCUUAUGAGACCAUCACUAUCUUGUUUGUUCUUGUCACUUCCACUGCCAUUAGGGACUGAAGGAUCUUCAGUUGUUACAUCUCUCGGGCAUUCUGGUGUGAGCGGUUGCCCGCAAAGUCCAAGAUUUCCCGUAAAUUGAGAAGCAUUAAAACUUUGAAGUUGAGUACUUAGCGGAAUUCUUCCUGAUAAGUUGUUGUAUGACAAGUCCAAGACACCAAGAAAAUGUAAGCUCGAAAAACUCGGAGGGAUGCUACCAGAUAUCUGGUUUCGGGACAAAUCAAGCGAUUCUAACAUCUCCAGCUGACCAAAGUUGUUAGGAAGCACCCCAGUAAAAUUGUUGCUUGACAGGUUCAGAGAAAUCAACCUCAACAAGCUUGUUACACUUUCUGGAAUAUCUCCACUCAAGUUGUUGCUCGAAAUGUCAAUGCUUCUCAAAAGCUUAAGAUUUUCGCCAAACUCAAUCAAUAUUCCUUUCCAAACCAGUUGCACAAACCCAACUUCAGAGUUGUCCUUCACCUCGGGGGACAUCGAAGAAUAGGCUGUUAUGUUAGGGAGGCAAUGGGGCAAGGCUCCGGAUAGAUUGUUCUUGGAGAAGUCCAAAACAUGAAGCGCAGGAAGACUGCAUAGACUUAAAGGUAUGCUUCCAUAAAACUCAUUCGACUUUAAGCGAAGAACCAGCAACUUUGUUAGGCUCGGGCCUAUCCAUGUCGGUAUCUUUCCAGAUAGCUUAUUGGCACCGAGGUCAACAACUCUUAAUUCUGUACAGUUCUCCAAAGAAGGCAAUUCUCCGGAAAGUUUGUUAUCCUGUAAGCGUAACAAUACAACAUAUUUUAAGUAGCCUAAUGAGCUUGGAAUUUUCCCGGACAGAUUGUUCUUAGCCAUGUUCAAGAAGAACAAACGUCGAAACUGCAUCCAACAACUAGGAAGUUCGCCGGAUAACUGAUUGUCGGAAAGGUCUAGAUCAUACAAGUCUGGAGCUUCUGUUUCACAAAAGUAAGAUAAGGGUCCUGAAAACAUGUUUUGGGAGAGACGCAGGAUGGUUACACUUGAUGGAAAUGGCGGAAGUGGGCCGUCCAAGAGAUUAGAUGACAAGUCAAAAUAACGGAAGGUGCAGUUUUUUGUUGACAGAUUUGGCAACUUUCCAGGGAUUUGGUUCAUUGAUAGGUUUAACUCGAGGAAGCUGGAAGACAGAUCCCAAAACUUAUCAGGUAUAGAAUCCGAAAUCUCAGCAUCAGCCAUGUAAAGUGAAGUAAGUUUUUUCUGAGUUUGAAUCCAUUUCGGAAAAGCAGGGCCAACCUUGCAAGAGGACAAUCCUAGAAUUUUGAUUUGGAAAGGCGGAUUCCAAUCCGAGCUAAAGUUAAAAGACAAAGGAUUAUGAGAAAAAUCCAAAGAGUUUAAACGGGAGAGAUUGGAAAAGUGCACUUCAGUUAUGACACCAUUUAAAGAAUUCCAAGAAAGAUCUAAAUCUUCGAGGCUGGAAAGUUGGCCGAUACUCUCAGGAAGAGAUCCGCUGAGUUGAUUUUGGGAGAUAUAUAACUGCCUUAACAACGAAAGACCUGUAAAAUCAGGCAGUGAUCCGGUGAACUGGUUUUGAACUAGGCUCAAGGAUCUUAGCUGGGAGAGUGGCUGAAAACUUUUUGGAAGAGAUCCCCUUACGUUGGUGCCAUCAAUGUACAACUCUUUCAAGGAUGAAAAUCUUGUAAGGUUGUCAGGAUAUGAACCCGAAAACGGGUUCCCACUUAAAGACAAGGACUCGAGGGUGUCUUGAGCACAAGACAAGUUUUCGACAGAGUCUUCAAGUCUGUCGGAAAGUGUACUUCCCUCUAAAUUCAAGAACUCUAAGCUGCAAAGGUUUCGAAAGGAUUUUGGUAUCCCACCUUCAAGUUUGUUAUAUGAGAGAUCAAGAGAGACGAGAGAAACCAUAUUUGCGAAAACAUCUGGGAAGGGACCUGGAAUAUGAUCACCAACUAAACCAAUGUGAACAAGGUUGGUGCUGACAUUGGCCAUCCAAUAAAAUAUCGAAAGAUCAAGAAUAUUAUAUGAGAGUUCAAGGACUUCAAGAGAGUUUGAAGAAUUGACAAAAGAAAACGAACUCAGUUCGACAUUGGGAAGAUUACACCAAGAUAACUGAAGCUCAACAAGUGAAGGGAGUUUGCUUAUAGAUUCUGGCCAAUUUACAACCUUGGAAAAAUUAAGACGCGACAUAUUCAAGUACCUCAAGGAAGAAAGAUGAGAUAACCACUCAAGAUUUUCAAAUGUGACAUGGUUCCGUGCAAGAUCAAGAGUAUACAAACUAGAGAGAUUUCCAAGUUGGGGAGGAAUUGGUCCGCUAAGAUUAGCACCUGCUAGUUUGAGUUGUUCCAAUCGACUCAAGGAACCGAUGAACUUGGGAAUUUGUCCUUGGAAAUGAUUGAAACUGAGGUCCAAGUAAGUUAGAUAUGGCAACUCAAGUAGAGAAGGAGCAAUCACACCACUUAGAGGAGUUUUAACACCAUAUAUAUCAAAAGAACUGUGAUAGAGAUCUAGGGUGACGACAUGACCUGUUUCGUUAUUGCAAGCGAUUCCUCUCCACUCGCAACAAUCUUUGCCGGUUUCCCAAGAGGCAAGAACGUUGGACUGGUCGAUGAGGCCCUGUUUGAACUGAAGCAGAGCGGUUUUUUCUGCUUGUAAGCACCUGAUGUUGGAACUGAUUCCAGCACCCAGACAGCAUUUGGCAGAUGUAAGAGCGAACAAGACAGAAUAUAUGAUUGUGAGCAACAUGGUACGUGAAAUGGUGAAUGGAAUUGUAUGUGGAUUUGGGAGCGAAAAGCAAGAGAUGUUGCUUUAUAGAUCGAUCCUUCGUUGUCGUUCUGUGGACGUUGAGAAAAACAAAUCAAAGAGGAGGAAAAGUGGUAGAGAAAAGGAGGGAAAGAGGUAAAGAAAGAGAAAUGGGGAUGAGGAUCCCCCUCCGGAUCCUAGUAUACCAUCCGUUCAUGGAAAAUCAUGCAGCUAGAAAUCAUUAGAUAUUGUUCGUGUUUAAUUUUAAAUAAAUAAUUUUAAAUAAUUUAUGACCGCACGAUAUACGAAAAAAUCCUUCACGUCCGAGAAAAUGAUGGAAAAUGGUAGAGAAAAAUUGGAAAAGGAGAUUGGAAUAAAAAAGUACGGUGGUGGGGGCAUGGACUGGAGAAAGACUUCAUACGUGAAGGAAGGGAAAGCAAGAAGAAAGAAUGGUGGUGGAGCAUGGAUUGGAGAAAGACUUAAUACGUGAAGGAAGGGAAAGGAAGAAGAAAAUAUGGCUACUCCGAGGACAUAGGCAAAUUUGACUGAACCUCGUAAAUAUUGUAUCCUAUUUACAUUUUCUUACCGUUGAUUAUAUUUCGUGUAGCCUGCGCAAAAUCUAUUCCAAUACAGACCAUUAGAAUAAGAUGAACUAGAGAAUUACAUGAAAUUGCACUUGGAAUAUUAAGCGACUUGGAACUAGUAAAGAUCGUACCCAGUGCACAAGGCUCCCGCUUUAAGCAGGGUCUGAGAGAGGUGAAUAUCGGGUAGCCUUACCCCCAUUUAUGAAGAGGCUGCUCCCAAGUCUUGAACCCGAGACCUACCGCUCAUGGGCGAAGGUACUUGCCAUCCGGAAAUCGAUAGUCGGGGGCAUUUGUGGGACCACCAUUUGUAGAAUGAUGCCCCACGCGGCCUCUAAGGUCCAACCGUCCGGAGGUGACCUUCCCUGCCCACAGGAGUCCCUUACACAAUGUACACACACAGAUCACUAAUCCAAAUUCUACUGCAUGUUUAAGAAAAAGGAUGAUUUCACCACUUCGGUACUCAGCACCAAGGAACCUGAUCAUGCUACAACGGAUAAUGGUAUAACAAUUCCAGCAGAGUCAGAAACCACACCGUCCUUCGAAACUCCAGCACGGUGAAACCUGAUCGUGCUACAAUCUCAGUCAUCAUCUUCAUCAUCAAGUACCAUCCUUGACCUCCUUCUGCUUACACCACUCACUGGCAAUGUACCUACUUCAUCCUCCGAAUCUGCCAGAUCAGUGUCCAUUUCCUGAUGUAGCAAAUCCUCCAAAGUUUUCACAGGUCCAACAUCUAAUGGAUUACCACUGCUGGUGCCUGUGACUUCAGCUUGUUCUGUGCCAUUCAGACUAGCACGUUUCGCAGCAGCACCUUCGUCAACUUCAUUUUCCAAAACAGUGCCGCUUUCUGUUCCCUGAAUCGAGAUGGCUUCGGAGUUUUGAUCUAUGGACUUGGAAAGGGAUCGCCUAGUUUUCCUAUAUCCAAAAGAACAAUUUUUUUAUUAGAAAAAUGGCUACCUUACAUACACAAUCAGAAUCCAACGACUAUAGUUAUUCGAAUUCUUCUUUUUUCGUUUUUUUCUCAGGGGGAGGUUUGAGGAUGGAGAGAGGGAAGAGAUUUACUUAAGAACAGAGCUUAGGAUUUCAUCAUCACAAUCAUCUUCCAACGCUUCUCGUCCAAUAGUCUGUUCUAGCAACUCGUCGCUAUUAUCCUUCUUGCCCCUAGAAGUUCAAACAAAAAGUUGUCAGACAUAGGUAUUUACACAUCUAUGUAUGCAUGCGAGUGUAAAGAUGGAACCAAAUACACAUUCCUACAAGUUAAUUCGGAAUAUGGAAACCGAACUGAAUAAUGAAUUUAAUAACCUUAUAUUGUAAGGUUUACGUAAAGAUAUUGGAGUCUGACAUAUGCAGUAAAAACGCCAAAACAGUGAAAACUAAGAUGGACAUACUAAUCAUUGACAUUUACCUUUUCAUUAAUGAAAAUAGUGUUUCAUCAUCAGAGUCGUGCAUUUUGUUUGCAUUAGAGUCACUAUGAUCCUCAUCCUUCAGCAUGCCACCUGAAGGCCUCUUCUUCCGAGGAAUAUGCAAACCAAGCUGCUUAAGCUUACGAGAAACUUGAGGAGCUGUGAAUUUCCCAUCUCCAUCCAUCGCAUUUGCAAUCAUAUGGCUGCAUUUCUUAUGGUCUUUAAAUCUGGGAAGAUCGAAGAAAGCAAAUUUUUCUUUAAAACAAUAUAAUAGUAAACUUCCAUUAUCUACUUUUCUUUGGUAAUCCUCCAGCAUUUAUCAAGUGAGAAGAUGUCAAAUCUCAUAUUUCCACCAAGCCACCAAGUAAUACUCACUGCUCGUAUAAAGCUCUGAUAUUAGCUUCCUGAUCUUCACUGAGGGCACGGACCCUUUUUCUUGCUCGCCUAUAAAAAUAUCAAGGUCAAAUUAAUUAACAGCUGAGCAGUGAAGCAACACAAACAAAACCAGCAUGCAUUACGAUUUGCCAUGAAAUGAAUGGCUAAUUGACAAAACACUCACAAAGGCUGGCUUUUUGAUUCAGAAUGAGUUUUAACUGCUUCCUCUACUCUUCCAUCUCCAUCAAUUUGACUAGGCCCAGUGGAAACAGAUUCCUGAGCUUUCCGAAUUCUUUUCCUUCGUGCAACUUUCAGCCCUAGCUGUUUAAGCUUGUUAGAAAUUUGAGCUGAUGAAACUUUACCAUCACGAUCAAGAGCUUCCGCAAUAAGAUGACUACAAUUCUGGUCAUCCUUGAAUCUAGAUUGGCCAUAUUUGUUAGGAAAGAUUUCAGUAAAGCUGGAUGAAAAAAGUAGGUUACACUGCUAAAACAAUAUUGGCACAACUCAAAUUAUGAACACACAUCAUGGCCAAUGCUUUUUAUAUUAUUAUGUUUCGGCUGAUAUCAGGUGUACUAUGCCGGGUUAAAGGCUCAAGAAAGAAGAAAGAUCUUAGAUCAAGGAACCAUACUUCUCAUACAGAUCCUUAAUUUUCAUCUCCAGUUCAGCUCCAAUAACAAGUCGCUUGUUUUUUCUAGAAACCCUCUCAGUUUCAUUCUCUAUGGACUUUCCCUCACUGCAACAGUCGAAUGCAUCAAGGUCUCAUUAAGAUGACAAUUUAUAAAAAAAUAUUAAUCAUCAAGUUGUAAGUAUAAAGGACGUACUUGUCAUAAUUAGCUUGCCCAUCAGUCUCAUUAUCUGAAAUAUAUGCAGUACCUCCCUCCGCUUUGCCAGAAUUUUCUCCAUCACUGUAAGAAAAAAGAAGGCAUAUUCGUUAGCUCCUCUUGCAGUAUCUCAUCCAUUCAGAAAAUUUCGUACUUUUUUUUGUCCCUUUGGUAGACUUGUUUCGCAAAAUUUAUUCAUAUAUCACAAUUUCCCGCUUAAUAGAGGCAUCAGAAACAUGUCUUACUUCUCAUAUCCAAGGUCAUGAGAUAGCACGACAUCAGCUUCAUCUUCACCAAGUGCAUCUGCUAUGCUUCUACUUGUCCAUCCUUUGUCCAGUGAUGGACCAAUUUCAUCGUCCCCUAAACUGUUUGCCCAGUUUCUAGUUUCUUUCUUCAAAUGGCCAAGCUCUUGCAAUAAAUACUCAGCAUUAAUGUAAUGGCAUUCUUUGCGAGUUUUCCAGAAGAGAACUUCCACAAAAAGUAGGGGUUGAUUUUUCAUUUUUUUAAGCAUUUUUCUGACCAAACUUUUCAAAAAAUCGACAAUAUUUUCAUACGCCUUGCAUGGACAUGACUUCUGCUCAGCUAGAAUGUCAUAGAAUGUAGUGAGGAGUGACAACUGCAAAAGUUUUUCCAUGAAAACUUUAGAUGAGAAAUGAACUUGAAAUGGCUGCUUAAAAUUAUAUAAAGUUGAUACGUAAAGUUUCACCUGAUACAACAUCGGAGAGAGCCCCAGGUCAUCACUUAUCCUUCGCAGCAUGCUGACUAUGUAGUGAUUGGUACUGGUCGAGUUACCCUUAUAAAACUUAAGCAACCAACACAACUUCUGGAUGAUGCUGUGGCUUGCAAAAGCAGAAAUCAAAGUUGACACCUUAAAAUCAACUUCAUCAGUUGCAGCUACCUGCUCAUCAGCAGAAGAAUCGCCUGUGCUAUAACCAAGAUCACCUUUGGCAUAGUCAGAAUCUCUGCGAUCGAUCUGUGCCAGACUGUCUUCAAUUUUUUCUGUCUCCAACAAAGAUAUUUUGCAUUCAUCAGGCUGAUCAGGGAUAAUGGUGUCUUCUUUCCCAUUGGAAAUUGUGUUUAGGCUUCUGUUCUCCGUCACACUGACUUCUGUUGAUUGCUCUUCAUUGGAGAUGCCAAUCUCUUUUUGAAUGGUACCAUGCUCUUCUAAGAGUUUAUUUUCUGUUUCCUUCUCAAUAGGUGUUUUCUUCUUCCUCACUUUCCUAGAUUUUUUAGAAACCUUAAUCAUAAAAGGAAAUUGGUUUUAGUAGUGAAUUUUUUUUUUCCAAAUGGUUUUAGCAGAGAGACAAUAAUAUUUUCCCCCUUUCCCCCAUCCAAAAUUAUGAAUGCUACAUACCCUCAAAGUUCCGCCUGCUUGAAGGUUUUCCAUGAGCCGUAAAACUUUAUAAACCAUCUCUAUCAAAUCUGCAAGAUCACUGACAAAGAAAACUUGUGAAUAUGAAAUAAAGGCCCUCAAACAAGAGAAAAAAAAUGUAAUUAAUUUUGGAAUAACUUGCUUUUGAUCAAAGACAAAUGGAUAUUAAAUCUCUUUUUCCUGGUACGUGUUUGAACAGUAGUAGGUUAAAGGCAGGUGUUUCUUGAUGGUCAGGGAAAAGUCCUACCCUGUAGAAUGCUGAAUCAUCUCCCUUUCUUAAAGAUUGCAUAUCUAAAAUUGGAUGCCCAACAACAAAGAAAAAAAUCCUCUAAUCUUUCGUUAAAACUCUCUGAUACUGACACAACUACUAAAGAGAACCUCUCAACAGGAUUUCAAGUGAAAAAUCAUAUUUGGAAAUUUAAAAAAAGUGUGCAUGUGGAUACAAAAAGGAAAAAAAAGACCUUCUGGGUUGUUUGUGAGUGUCAAAUGAUUUGAGUAAAUUUAUGAGGAAGUGCGUCAUCCCCUCAUCAGUCUGAUCAUAAAAUAAUUUGUAGAGAAGUAUGCGAGCUGUUUGAGGCUCCUUGGAAUCUGCUGGCAAUAACUUAAGCACCAAAUCCAGCAUGCAAAUCUGGAAGAAAAAUAAAUUAGUUAAGAAGCAUGUUGCAAGGGCAUAAUUAAAAUACAGUUCUUAUCCCAACUUCACAUAUCAAUAACUUGCAUAGAGCUUUUGAGAUAUGGCAACUUAAAAAUAUGUCCUUCUAAUGGGCCACUAAAGUGCAAUUGGUCCCUUUAAAAACUAUGUAUUUUUUUUCCAUCAUUCGUUACACCAAUGACCCUUGCAUGGAAAGUAACUUAGGCCACAGAGAAGUGUUAUUGGAAAGUAAUGAAAUAAUUACCAUAUUUUUCAUAAGAGAACCAGCUGCAGACAAAAACUUGUAGUCAUGUGUUUCCUUCAAGCUAUCAUAUGCAUAACGCCACUUUGAAAUGACUAGUUGAAACAUAGAUUCGUUCACUGAUGCUGCAAUGGGUCCGCAAACAUCACCUUUGAAGAAUGUGCUAUCAGCAUCUUUAUCAGUGGGAGCUUCAGUUGGAUCUGCUUCUGUGCCCAUGCUAGGCUGGUAAAUCAUAGAAGAUCCAGGUAAAACAAUUAAAAUUCUCCAACAAGAAAUGUGACUUGAGUUAUGUGGUGAAAUGACCCAAAAUGACAACCACUGUGCAUAAUGGACUCAUUAUAUCAGAAGUACAAUCUAAACCCUUUAGAAUGGAUAAUGGAGAAAGACCCAGUUGCAUUGAUUAAAUUGCAGGUUGGGAUAGAUUGAGAUGAGAAAUAUUGGUCCUUCUCCGUGCAAAAAGGUUAGUUUCUAAAUUCUGAAAAAUGAGUCCUGUUUGCAGAAAGGUUUCAUUUUGCAAAAAGUAAUUACCAUGUCCAUUUAGGAAACAACUAAACAUGGUUAUCCAACAUAGCCUGUCUCACCUUAGAAAUUGAAGACUUGUGAUACUGGAAAGAAAUAGCAAACUGAGCAACUUGAAAGAAGACAACAACAUCACUCUUCUGAAUUGAGGGGUGUUCCUUUUCAAUAUUCUCACGAAUUGACUGCAUCAGAACUGAUAGACACGGACUACUUUGUAAUUGUGCAAUAAGACCAUAAUGGAACAUCAAGAAAAAAAAGUGAACUAACAUAAAAGAGGAACGAAAAAAUGACAUACCAUUGUAACCCCCUGAUAAAAACUGGUUUACAAAAUCAUGGAGCAAUUCUAAAAUUUUAUCCUUUGUUGAAGGCAAUGUCCCAUGAUCCCAAGCAAUUUUUUUUACUGGACCCCGGGGAUUAUGUGGUUUAAGCAUGGUUUUACAAGAGGUAGAAGUAGGCCUUCCCUUCAAAACUGCCACAGAACCAUCCUGCCGAGGAAAGCCCAUUAUCAUUAGAGAAGAACUUAUAAAAAGUUAAAAACCUCACUUGCAUGAGGCCAUAGUGAAACUCCCUACCAUGGUGAGCUGGGUAAAUGUUCCACUAAAUUGUGAAUGGCGACUCAUGUUACGUAGUCUAGAAAGUCUUUUUUUCUCUUCUUCUUCUUCCUCCAUUAUGGACUUGAGACUAUUUAAGGAACCAGCGGUGUUUCCAUCCACCUAAAAAAUACAAGUAAUCAAAUAGACUAUAAGAAAACGGCUAUCAACCACUGCAUCAGUAAUGUAAGUAGUAAGAUUAAAUCAUUGAGCAAAUAAUUCAAAGCUCAUAAGUUCAGAAUAUAAAGCAACAAAAGGAAAGAAAUUUCAUUGGCUAAAACUUGUACUUUUUGUGGCUCUAUCUAUGUCUCAUAUUAAAGCUUCUUGUCAAGGUUUUCAUUUAAUUUCUCCCAUUGUCUUAUUUAAAAUGCUCGCUAGCUCUGAACAAACGUCAUUUUCCUUACAAAGAAUUCAGAAAGAGAUGAAGAGAAACCAACCUUAAGACCUUUUGAAUAUGCGUUUGCGAUCAACUCUGGUUCUUGACCCAUGAAUAUGUAAUGGAAAAUUUCCAAUAAAAGCAAGUUAUCGUGACAGAGGUAGCUACGGGAAUCACCAAUAUGCUGGGUUAUGACUAAAACUAUGUCCAUCACGUUCUCAUGAAACAAAAGUUCUAGAAAUCUAUCUCUGAGUGAUACAAAUUGACUGGCCAUUCCUCCAGCCUUCUGCUGCUGUGAAAUUUCUUGAACAGCUAAGAUGUUUCGGAAUAAAGUAAGUACCAACUGCACCAAUUUCCAGUCAUCCUCCGUGAAUGCAUCACUGUCAAAAAGCGAUGAAGAAUAUGUAAUUUUCAAGCAACCAAUGAUGCAGAAGAUGAAGCAUAUGUAAUCUUCUCUCACCGUUCCAAAUUUUCCAGUGGGCUUUCCAGAAGCGAUACUAUAACUGCAACAGUAUCACUAGAUGUAAUCGAAGACUUCAACUUCCACAGAAACUCUAUCUGCUGCAAAACAUCAUUCGACGAAGGCUCAACUGGCAUAGUUAGGAACACCAGAACCUUCACUGCAAAUUCAAAAAAAUAAUUAAAGUCAUCCCUUUGGAAUACGCUUUCAUAAACAUGUAAUGAAGAGAGAAAAACGAUUUUACCUGCAUUCAAAACCAAGUUGGUAUCAGCUUGGCAGUGUUCAAUGAUAGGUACCAAAUGCUGAUCUACAAUAUUCCAUUUACAGACUUGCUUAAAAACAUCCCGAUUCUGCGGGUCAUCACGCCUCAAAAACCUUAGCAAAUCUUUCAGAUUAUCUGUCAAUAACAAAGAAAAACAAAUUUCAUAUCUGCCACCUGACUGGAAAAAAUAACAUUCCCAAUCGACAUCGUUUUCAUCUAAUCAAUCGAGACCAUACGAUUCCUCGUGCAUUCAAGCCAAAUCCAAAUAAUUAAGAAGAAAAAAUACCCAUUGAACGUUUGGAAUUAACAAAGAAAAUUUUCGAAUUUAAAAAAUUAAACGGAAGAAAAAUGAUGCAAUUUAGCCCGGUGGAAUUUUACCUUCAAAAUUAACCCAUUUCCAACCAUCAACAGUAAGUGAAAUAAAUAAUUCCCCCCAAAUCUGCCCUAGUUUCGCAAUCUACUCCAACCAAAAUUGCUACAAAGUCAAUUUAACUAGGAAAUUUUGCAAUCCAAACUAAAAUUAUCUUCCAUUUCCGGCAUUUUCUCGGCAUCCAAACGGAGAUUUCUCGAAGACAUAGAUGACGUACCUAAGCAGUACUUGCCCUUCGAGUAGCCGAUCCGGUUGCCAUUGUCAUCUUCUUCUGCAAUCCCCAGAUCGCAGCAUAUUACCGAUAAGCCUUCCAAGUCCAUCUUCCGUGAAACGGUGCCGUUUUCAAACGAGGGUUCGAGAGUUUGGGACUUCUGGAGGAGAUGAGGAGUGGAGGAAUUUGGCGCGAGAGCAAUCAGAUCUCCGAGAAAGGGUUUAUUUUGAGGGUUUUGGUGGCGCCAAUUUCAACGUGAUUUUCCCGCGCUCCUCAGGCGUGGCCAAGGUUUUUAUUAGCUGAUGUGGCCAUUUAGGUGUACAGGUGUCAGCUGAUGUGGCAAUCGUUUAUAGGUUGGAAUCGUAUGUAGGUGAGGAGAGAGCAUCCUCGCCGGAUCCUCCAAUCAUAUCCGUUCAUUGUACAUCUUGCGAUCAGUUUUUAUCAGGUACCGUUUAUAUUCAAUUUUAAAUAAUAAAAAAUUACAAUGAUUUUUGACUCCACGAUGAACGGAUGUAAUUGGAGAAUCCUAAUUAUCCUCAUAAAGAGGAUCUGGAGAGGAUCCGGAGAGGAUCCCCAUGGAUAGGUGAAAACCUUUGAUUUUUAAAAAUUAUUUUUCUAAUAAUGAUGAGUAGCACAAUUACCUAUAAGCAUAUGUAAAGUAUCUUUUUUCUUCGAUGUGUGAUUCAAACUGUCAAUACUCUCCCUCACGUGUGGCCGUUGGGUGACGUGGAGCACGUGUAGUCAUUGGACUUCACGUGUAAGACAACUUGCUCUGAUACCAUGAAGAAAGUUAAAAUUUCAUCAUAAAAUCAAUUGGUAAUAUAAGAAGCAACCAAAUUAUUUAUAAGCACAUAUAAAAUCUCUCAUUUUCUCAAUAUGAGAUUCAAACUCUCAUUAGUCAUGUUGAAAAUUACAUAGACCGAUAAAUAAUUGUGCGUGGAUUUAAAUUUGUCACGUAGUGCUAUUAAUUUAGGAAAAGUCAUACAAAAUAAUUUCUCAAAAUAAGAACUUAUAGAUAACAAAUUCACCACAUAUGGCAUUCAUGUCCAUUAGUGUUAAGUCAUGUGAAGAAAAAAAUAUAUUACUACAUUAGAACGCCAAUGUAACAGUGAAUCGAAAUAUCACAAUAACGGUAAAUUCAGUUAUGCGAGUUGCUCAACUGGCAAAUCAGCCCAGCAGCCCGCAUAUGUGGAAGCAGCACUGUUUGUCCGGAACAGGCCCAAAAUAAUCUCGUGACCCGCCCGUUCCCCUUUCGAGACAAACUCCACUUGGAACGAAGGAAGUUGAGCAACUUCUACUUCGCCGCUACUUCCUUCGUUACAACCAAAGCCCUGCCAAACUCUGUCUCUCUGUCUCUUUCUCUCUCUCUCUCUCUGGCGCCUCAAAACCUCCGCCAAAAGUAGCGGCGACUUCCACAACCUCCCCCACGUCCUUUUAAAUCCAUCGGCCAGUCACUUCACCUCACCAUUGUCCUCUCAGAACCUCGGCCAAAAACCCGAAUCUCUCCCUCUCUAUCUUCUCUCUCUCUCCUCUCUCUCCUAAAUGGUGCAGGUGGUGGCUAUGCGGGCGAUUCAGAGCUCGAUCCUCUCUCCCACCUCUGAAUCCGCAUACCGCCGCCCCGCCUUCAAGCUGAAGCCGCCAACGAGCUUUGCGUACAAAGUUAUGGCCUUUGAGGAGAAGCAGAGGGGAUGGAGCUGGAGACUGUUUGGGAACAGGAGGUCUGAGAUCACUGCGAAGCGUCCCCUUCAGACGGAGGUCGCUCCCGUCUCACCCGAAGACUCACCCAAGGUUCGUGCCACUGCUCAAAUCUUCCUUGUUCUUUGUUUGGACCUUGAUGCGUUUAGCAAUGCGGUCUAGUGGUAUUCCUCCUUAGAGUAAUUCCGAGGUCUCAGGUUCGAUUCGCUUGGAUGGAAAGUUGGAUACUUUAUUACGGGCUUAGCUGAAAUCCCCUACCUUUGCGUAAAAAAAAUAUAAUCUGUUUGAUUGCCGAGAAAUUGUAGAAAAUCAUGAGAAAAAAGGAAACUUUUUGUUUUUGGAUGUUGAAUUGAUAAUACAUAGGCUGAUUGAUAAUGUUUAGGGCUGUUUGGAAAUGCUUUUAUAGAAAGCACUUAUGCUUAUAAUCGCUUUUAUUACAAUCACUUUGAAAUUUUCAUUUAAAGUUCCGAGUGCUUUUAGAAUGUAUGUUUAGAUUUGUUUAGUUUGUGUUGCUAAUCAGAUAGAGGAGCAGUGGAAGGCAAUUCAGCAACUUGAUGACCCAGCAGUGGGUAUGUGGUCCAAGCCUGUUGUAAAACGUAAGACAAAGAUUGUUUGCACAAUUGGUCCUUCCACCAACACACGCGAAAUGAUCUGGAAGUUGGCCGAGGCUGGAAUGAAUGUUGCUCGUAUGAAUAUGUCUCAUGGAGACCACGCGUCUCAUCAGAAAGUUAUAGACUUGGUUAAAGAAUAUAAUGAGCAACAUAAGGACAAUGUCAUCGCAAUCAUGCUUGAUACCAAGGCAAGGCUCCCCUUAUUGUUUGUUGUUAUUCCUUCGAUAUCAAGUCAUUACGUUAAAUUGCUUAUUUUUUACUAUUCGGAUUAUAUCUAGGUCGUUCCAUUGAUGAAAGGUUGUUCUGUAUCAGGGUCCUGAGGUUAGGAGCGGUGACUUGCCGCAGCCAAUCAAUUUGGAAAGCGGGCAGGAAUUUACCUUUACAAUCAAAAGAGGGGUUGGCACAUCAGAUUGUGUUAGCGUGAACUAUGAUGAUUUUGUUAACGAUGUAGCACCGGGAGACAUGCUUCUGGUUGAUGGUAUGUUGAAUUUUACUUUUCUUUUGGUUAAAAAUUGAAAUUAUGUUUAUAUGCACUCUGAAUCUUGAUUUGCGCUGUAGGUGGUAUGAUGUCAUUCCUGGUGAAGUCCAAGACAGAAGAAUCAGUGAAUUGUGAAGUUGUUGAUGGAGGAGAGCUUAAGUCUAGGCGACAUUUGAAUGUGCGAGGGAAAAGUGCAACAUUGCCUUCUAUCACUGGUUGGACUCCUAAAUUGUCGAUUACAUCCUUUACAUUCUAUUAAAGAUGUUUUUCCUUUAUUUCUUUAUGAUCGGUUUUCCUAAUCAAUAUAGUUUUCUGAACUUAUUUAUUGCAGAGAAAGAUUGGGAAGAUAUUAAAUUUGGAGUGGACAAUAAAGUUGACUUUUACGCUGUUUCAUUUGUCAAAGAUGCGCAAGUUGUUCAUGAAUUGAAGAAUUAUCUGCAAAGUAACUGUCCAAAUACUUUUAUCAUAUAUACAGAAAAUACAUCCGAAUUCCACACUUUUGUUUAAUGCUUUUAAAGAAUUGUAUCUAAUAUAUUUGAUGUUGCAGGUAACAAUGCAGAUAUACAUGUUAUCGUAAAAAUAGAAAGUGCAGACUCUAUCCCGAAUUUGCAUUCCAUUAUCACAGCAUCCGAUGGGGUAAUUUCUUGAAUCAAUGAAUGGAAACUUGAUACUCAAUAAAUCUUUCUCCUGGUUAUUUGCAUCUUAAAAACACAUUUGAAAUUUAUCAAUAAGUUUCAGCAAUCUCUUCUUUUAAAUUUUUAAUAUACGAUAAUUUAGGAAAUGAUAUGUUGAACUUUUUUUAGCACGGUUUAAUAUAUUAGUCUUAAUAAAGGUCGUACCCAGUGCACAAGGCUCCCGCUUUACGCAGGGUCUGGGAGAGGUGAAUGUCGGCUAGCCUUACCCCCAUUUAUGGAGAGGCUGCUCCCAAGUCUCGAACCCGAGACCUACCGCUCAUGGGCGAAGGCACUUGCCAUCGCACCAAGUGCGACCUCUAAUAUAUUAGUCUUAAUGUUUAAUAUAAAAAUAACUCAAACGUCCAACGCCAAUCUCUUCUUUUAAUAUGUAAAUAAUACAUUUUGAACUUACCUGAUAGUACUGACACACAAUUAUCUGAUUUUAGGCAAUGGUUGCAGAGGAGAUCUUGGUGCGGAGCUCCCUGUUGAAGAAGUUCCGCUUUUGCAGGUACUUAACAACAAACACAUUGCAAUUGAAUCCACUUAACAAGAUUGAUACAUUAAGUUGAGUUCAUUGAGUACGUUCUGAACUCUCUUUUAUUUCAAAAUGUAGGAAGAGAUUAUCAGGAUAUGCCGUAGCAUGGGAAAGGCUGUUAUUGUGGCAACAAAUAUGCUGGAAAGCAUGAUUGUUCACCCAACACCAACCAGAGCUGAGGUAUCCGACAUUGCCAUUGCUGUUAGAGAGGGUUCUGAUGGAAUUAUGCUUUCUGGAGAAACUGCUCAUGGAAAGUAAGUUGUUGUGGCUAUCGGAAUUAUACGGUUGGAACCAGUUUUGGACUAUACUAACAUUUAGACCGUAGCAUAAUGUGAUAAAGAGAUUUCAUAUCCAUGUAGGUUUCCUUUGAAGGCAGUGAAAGUUAUGCACACUGUCGCACUUCGGACUGAGGCGACCAUCUUGGGUAGCGCAGUGCCAGCCAAUCUUGGUAAAGCUUUCAAGGUUAGGGACAUAUACUUAUUCAUUCAGUUUCAGUAGCCAGCGUCUAGCAUCUUAUUCAUUCAGGUUCAACUGACUCUGAAGUCUUUAUUCCUGCAGAACCACAUGAGUGAGAUGUUUGCUUACCAUGCAACCAUGAUGUCCAAUACUCUUGGUACCUCAAUCGUUGUCUUUACCAGAACUGGUUUCAUGGCUAUUCUAUUGAGCCAUUACCGACCUACCGGCACCAUAUUUGCCUUCACGAAUGAGUGAGUUUUCAUGUUACCUUCCACAAAGGCAUUAGUUAAAAUUUGUAUCUGUAUCAGAUAAAAUAUGCUCUGCAAGUUCCACUCAUUAGCAAGUACUCUGAUUGUCAUGCAGUAAGAGCAUACAACGGAGAUUGGCUUUGUAUCAAGGCGUAUGUCCCAUAUACAUGGAGUUCACAGAAGAUUCUGAAACAAGCUUUAGCAAUGCCUUGACUGUGCUGAAGGUGAUUUUCUGCUGCAUAUUUCAUAAAUUCAUGGCGACGUAGAGUAAUUUAAAUUAAAGGGUCAUCCUUGAAUCAAUCUUGGCAGGAUCAAUAUUUUCGUUUCUUUUAACUUUUUCAUAGGAUAUUAUUGGUUCUGAUUUGGACUAACGUAGCCACCUAUUCAACCAUGCCAGCACUGAUGAUGCAUUUUCCGGUGUUUUGUUUACAGGAGCAAGGACUGGUAAAGGCAGGAGAGAGGUCGCACUCGUUCAAAGUGGCAGGCAACCCAUUUGGCGGCUUCAGUCCACUCACAACAUUCAAGUGCGCAAAGUUUAGGUGCAACGGAGAUGGAAAGGCCGCCCUCGUAACAUAGAUUUCUUCGUCUACACUACCAUAGUUUCAAAUGAUAGCUUUUGUGUUGUACUUCCAGCAGAAUUGUCGUGAUAGUUUCUUGCAUUGGUUGAUUUUUCUUCUAUUGCAUACUUUUGUGAUCCUAUACGCUUCUUUUUUGUAUUCCGAUUUUCCCCCUUUUAAUUAAUUGUGGUGUAUGUUUUAGAACAGUAAGUUGUUAAAGCAUAAAUUUGGCAGUUGGAAUGAAACGUCUAACUUUUUACUCAAACUGUCUAAAUUUUUUUAAUAGUUUGAUUGGGGAAACAGGACGACCUUCUAAUAUCCGCCGUUACCGUUUGUCGCAUAGCCGUUGAACGCUGGCCACGGUGUAUCACAUCGGCGGGACCGGUGUGGGAGUAUGGUGGAAAUUCCGUUUUCCUUACGAUUAGUAUCUUCCUCAUAAUUUACAAUCAAUUCAUUCAAUAUUUCUUUUUUUAGAUGACAAAUUCCAACAUUUAAAUUAUGUAUCAGAUAAUACCCUACCCUAUUCAUCUGGAAAUCUUGGUUCAAAUCCUUCGCUAUUAGGUGAAAGAUCCCUCUUCUUUACAUUUAUUAGAACUCUUUCUUCACGAGUAUUAUAAUUGGAAUAGUCUUAUUAAUCCAAAAAAAUUUAUUGUUUCAAAAAGUAAUCCACGAUUAUUCUUGCUCCUACAUAAUUCUCAUGUUCCUGUGCUUUUGUGAAAGAUGUUUAGUAAGACUAUCUCCAACCCUGACCUAAAAGCUAAAAUUUACCAUUUUCCCCCUCCAAAUCCACUCCAACCCAUGACUUAAAAUAAACCUAAAACCUAAAACCCAAAUGGAUGUCAAAUUCCGGCCCAAUUUUAGGCCACAAAGCAAAAUGGGCCCCACCAACUGAGAGUAAAACCAGGGCUGUGUUGCCCACUUCCCAACCUCCACCCGCCAACGCACCACACGCGCUUGGCAGAUUGUUGAAAGCAAACAGCCCCAUGUGGGGUUGUUCCCUGCUGUCAGAAAGCAAAAGCAGCCCAACGGCUACUUUUGGUGAUCCAACGGUUGUGUUUAAAUGGGCUGUUGGUUAAUCCAACGGUCCAGGUUCAAAUUAUUAUUAUUUUUGUUUUAUAUUUAUAUAUUUAUUGAAUCCAACGGUUUAAAUCGAAUAUAAUCAAAUCUAACGGUAACAAAAAAGAUCUAACGGAAUUUAAAUAUUUUUAGGUUAAAAUGUUCAUAUAAUUAAUUUAGGAUAGUCUACAUAAUUUUUUUUUUUUAAAGUUAAUUUUAAAAAAAAAUUAGCCUUAAUUCAUUUUUUGAUAAUCUGGGGCUAAAAUUUUAGGCCAAAAGGGUUGGAGUAGAAAAGCUGUUUCUAGGCUAAAACCUAAAUUUUGUGGGCUAAAUAUUUUUAGGUUUUAAGUCAGGAUUGGAGAUGGUCUAAGUAGAGUGAUUCUACCGAUAUUUGAAAUAAAAUUUGUGCUUUUGUGAAAGAUGUUCUGUAAGUAGCGUGAUUCUGCAAAUGUUUGACAUAAAAUUUGUCGAUAUUUUCGUCGAAAUAUUCGAAAAAUCAAGAACCUGCGAGAUAUAAUGAGUAUCGACAAUAAUUAUUGAUCCAUUACGUAAAUUUUGUCAUAAUCCAUUGCAGAUUUGGAACUUUUGAAAAAAAUUUCCUCUGGUUUUGACUAAAUCAAAAUGAGUUGAUGUACACAUACCUUCCAUAAUUUUCAUCGAAGACAACUAACAUCGACAUUUUCAUAAAUUUGCGUAAUGGUAUUAUCACAUGUACUAAUAUUUUAAACACGGUCUAUAGAUGUUUUGGGCUUGAACUAGUCUCUAUGGAAUGAGGUAGAUUUUUUUUUUAGUACAUCGAUAUUUUUACAUUAAGAGAGGAGGGAGUUCGGCAAAGUCACAUAAUGAGCAACCUAAUUUGGUAUCGAAUUCGCCAUCCACGAUAUUCGAACCUAAGACCUCUCAUUACCAAGUGAAGAAGAAUAUCAUCAGACCGUAGUAUUGAGUGGCUAGGCAGAUUUUUUUGUUUAUUAACGAAGUUCGAAAGUGAAACAAAAAUUGUUGAUAAGGACUUCAUAAACAAGCUAUUGGAAGCCUUAUGUUUAUGCGUCUAGAUUGCAUUAUUGGUUACUUAUUUAGCAGCAUAUAUUUGGUGUGGACAAGCAAGCUAGGCAUAGAACUUAAUUAGAUGUUGUCCAUAAUGGAUGCACUGUAACCGUUGUCAUACUGCCUGCUCCAGAGCAUAACUCCUCCGUACUUGGGCGAAUUCUUAAUCGUUGGAAGAACUUGUGACUUGAGAGCGUCAGCAGGAAUAAAUCCGCCGCUCGGAGCGGCCUCAGGAGCUGCUGGUAAACCCAAGAACACCUCGCUGGCCGGAACCGAGGCCCAUUGGUUCCAACUGCUCAAAAGAGCGUUGGCAUUACCGUCUGAAUACUGGCAUGGGGGGUUGUUGUAGAACUGAACCCAAACGUAGUCAAAUAAGCCAGUUUGGAUUGCGCCGUCUAGGUGAGCAUCCGGGAUUGGACAUUGUGGAGCUGCGGCUAAAUAGACCGUUUUUGCCUGUGUGUUGUGCCCGUUGAGUAACCUGGCGAGCUCAUCAUAGAACUGCCCACCACCUAUAACAAUGGCGAAAUCAACGCCGUCCAAAACAGCGUCCCCAAGCGGGCGCGAUGCUGACUGACCACCUAGGAAGUUGUUCCAGAUGUAAUCAGCAACUUGCCUUGCAUCAUCAGCUGAAGUGAGAUUGUAACUUCCGACAGCCCCUCCAAUCGAGAGGAGGACUUUUAUGUUUUGGGAUUGGCAAGCUCUGAUGUCGGCGCUCAGCCCCGUGCAAGUACUACUGCUGGGGUCGCAGUGUCCGGCGAGGUUGAGGGCAGGGACCUGGUUGUUUCCGAAAGUCAUGAGGAAAGCUAUGUUAACAAACUGGUAGUUGCCUGAGUUGCAAGCAUCUACUAGGGUUCCUUCGUUGCCGUUUUGUCCCCAAUACGUUGCGAUUCCGGCGGCUUGAGAGGACUUGCAUGAAGAAAUGAGAAUCAAGAGGAACAGCGUUAGGGCUAGGGUUUGUGUUUUGGUUGCCAUUUUGUAUGUGUUUUUUUUGUUGUUGCUCAAAGUGCUUGGGAGGGUACAUGUAUUUAUAGGUGCAGGGGACUUGUCGGUGAAGGUUUAGGGGAAGAGAAGUAUGACAGACGUGUCUUGCAGGUACAAAAUGGAUGCCAGUCUUCUGCUUGGAUCCGCGUCAACCAAGUUAGGGCCUGUUUAGUCCAAGUUUCACUUCACAACUUAGAAAUUUGUGAAUUAAGUUAGGUCGUGUUGCACGUUCUUUUUUCAAAAACCACUCAUAAGCGCUCUUAAUAUUUUUCGUAAGAAUGCAAGUGUUUUUAGAAAAAACACUCGAGAUGCUUAGCGUGUGAUUUUUCUAGAAAGCACUUUUAAGUGUUUUUUCAACCUAAAACACUUCAAAACCCUUUUAGUUGUUUUAAAGACACUUCCAACAGACACAAAAUGAAAAAUUACUUCCAAAGAGAAAUAUAGCAUGCUAUUUGAGAGAUUCCUAAACUAAAUAGCUAUUAAGCGUGACCUUAACCACUUAAUUAGGUGAAAUAAAAUAUCAAAUUUGACAAACAAUCUGAUGAACGCCAUAGCUAUAUGUUUAGUCAGUGGAUGAGAUAAUCAUGAAACAAUACGUGGAGAAUCAACACAGCCUUAUCAUCGCCAAAAAAUUUCAGCAUGCCAGAAACACGACCUGGUACAAUACUCUUGGUACCUCAAUUGUUGUCUUUAUUCCUGCAGAACCACAUGAGUGAGAUGUUUGCUUACCAUGCAACCAUGAUGUCCAAUACUCUUGGUACCUCAAUCGUUGUCUUUACCAAAACUGGUUUUAUGGCUUAUUCUAUUGAUCCAUUACCGACCUACGUAUACCGUGACCAUAUUUGCCUUUACGAAUGAAUGAGUUUUCAUGUUACCUCUCACAAAGGCAUUAGUUAAAAUUUUAACUGUAUCAGUUAUAUAGUACGCUGUGCAAGUUCUAUUCAUUAGCAAGUACUUUGAUUGUCAUGCAGUAAGAGCAUACAACGGAGAUUGGCUUUGUAUCAAGGCGUAUGUCCCAUAUACAUGGAGUUCCCAGAAGAUUCUGAAACAAGCUUUAGCAAUGCCUUGACUGUGCUGAAGGUGUUUUGCUGCAUAUUUCCUAAAUUUAUGGCGACGUAUGCUAUUCAACCAUGUCAGCACUGAUGGUGCAUUUUCUGGUGUUUUGUUUACAGGAGCAAGGAUUGGUAAAGGCAGGAGAAGAGGUCGCACUCGUUCAAAGUGGCAGGCAACCCAUUUGGCGGCUCCAACCCACUCACAACAUUCAAGUGCGAAAGUUUAGGUGCAACGUAGAUGGAAAACUCGUAGCUUUUGUGUUGUACUUCCAGUUGAAUGUCGUGAUAGUUUCUGAUGAAAUUGGGUUCCACCAUAAAACCAAUUGGCAAUAUGGGGAGUAGCCAAAGAUCAUAUAAGCACAUAGUAAACCUUGUCCCUCAUCAAUGUGGGACAACUCUCAACAUACCCCCGCACGUGUGACGGAAUUUCAAUCCUACACGUGGACAACAACUGGAUGACGUAGAGUGCGUGUGGCCGUUGGGCUUCACACGUGGACAACCUUGCUCUGAUACUAUGAUGAAAUUGGAGUUCCACCAUAAAACCAAUUAGCAAUAUGAGGAGUAGCCCAAGAUCAUAUAAACAUAUAAUAAACCUUGUCCCUCACCAAUGUGUGACAACUCUCAACUCCAAUGUGGGACAACUCUCAACAGUUUCUUGCUUUGGUUGUUUAAUUUUACUUCUGUUGCACACUUUUGUGGUCCUAUCUGCUUCUUUUUGUAUCCCUCUUUCCCCCUAAUUAGUUUGGGUGUAUGUUUUAGAACAGUAAGUUGUUUCAGUAUAAAUUUGGCAGUUUGAAUGAAAUGUCUUAACUUUUUACUCAAACUGUCUAAUUUUUUUUAAUUGUUUGAUUGAGGAGACAGAUUGUCACCUUAUAAUAUCCGCAGCAUAUACCGUUUGUCGCGUGGCCGUUGAACAUUGACUAGGUUAGGAUUAAGAUUGAGAGAGUCUGGUGCUUUUGUGAAUGUUAUUUUAUAGAUAGCGUGAUUAUACAGAUGGCAAAGCGCUUGAACUGGACUCGACAGAAUGAGGUAUUUAUUAACUAAGGUCAAAAGUCAAGCAAAAAUUGUUGAUAGGGACUUCAUAAACAAAAUUAAACAACAUUCGUUUGUAUAAUUAUCAAACCGACAAUAUCUUAGGGUGCUAUCCACACAUUCUUUUUUAUCUUUUGCACACUCCUCUCAAUUUUUAACUGCUAAAUCAAAUGAAUUGAAGAAUAUCAAAUAACAAAAAUUAACAGAGAAUGUGUGAAAGAUAAAACUGAGUGUAUAGAUAGCAUCACCCUAUCUUAUUAAGAUAAUGACAUCCUAUUUAUUUGAUAUAAUCUUUUAGGGACUAACCAAAACAUUGAGUUGCAAAAGUCAAACUCUUCCGAUGAUGGAAGAACUAAAUCCACUUUUAUCAUCACAAAACUUAACAUCACACCACCAUACUUCGACGACUUCUUUAUCACCAGUAGAAUUUCCGAAUUCAGCGAAGCAGCCGGAAUAUACCCACUUACGGCCGCUCAGGAGCCGCCGGCAACCCCAAAAACAUCUUUCUCAUACAAUGAUGUCACUUGGCGUCUUAACAAGGUGGGAGACUUUGGGAGGACUUUAUUGGGUAUUUCCAAGUACUCGGUACUCUAUGUAUUUUAACCAUUAGAUCUUUGUUUAGAAAUAUAAAAAUCAAAAUCUAACGGUUAAAACAUCCAAUGUACCAGUAGUACUGCUCAAAUUUUUUUGAGACAUUGAAUGCAAUCCCUCCAAAAAAUUAAUAGGUUAUACAGUAGUACCACUUCAACCGUGAUACUUUCAUUCAAAGGCUAGUUUUAUACUAAUAUGUGAUGCUUUCAUUCCAUAUUUGAGAGGGCCUUUGAAUAAGUAUAAAGCUAGCCUUUACAAUAUGAGCUAGCUAGCCUCCAUACACACAGUGCCUGCCAAUCAUGUAAAACCAUAGACAAUGAUACAAGACAAUUUAUUUGGACCUAUAAUUUCUUUUCAUAACUACAUCACAUCGCCCUUUAUGUAAAACUAUAUUUUAUUCAAUUUCAAAAAUUAGUACAUGCAAUAACAUGUUUUAUCAUAAAAAAUACGAUAAAUUUCAGGCCUCGUUUGGCAGCUCAGACUGUACUGACUAUUUCUGUCGGAUAGGAUAAAUAGUCAUCGGAUAGUACUGACUAAAUUAGUCGGGCGUUUGGUGCAGUAUCGGACUAAUGACUGUAUUAUUUAUACUGUGUUUGGUAUUAUACCGGAUAGAAGGAAUCAAACUUAAAAUAAAAUUAAAAAAAAAAUUAAAAUCAUCUCUCUUGUUCCAUAUCUCUCCGCCGCACCCCCCCAAACUCCCUCCCUUUCUAUCCCUUCCUCUUCUUCCCCGUCUGCUCCCCUGAACUAAACCCCACCACAAAGGCAGCAACAAGAAACCCAUCUUUCAAAUUCUCAUCGUUUUUUUCCCAAUCCUUAUUUUUUUUUAGCUACAAAUCAACCCAGCAAAAAAACACACCACAAACCAAGAAAAUUCACACAAAGGACUUUGUUUUCUAUUAGUCCUAAAAAACAAUUGGAAGGAAAUUCACGGAGGACACCUUUUUUUCAACAAACCAAGAACACUCAUCGGAGAGAAAAAUGGGGCUGACUGUGAUUUUGGGCAUUAGGUUGGGGAAAAGCAUUGACAAAAUUCGAUUUGGAGGAGGGGAAGAGCUGAGUGACGCCUCCAGUUGGCGAAUUCCUCAGCUUCCAUCCGCCCCUUUCUAUAUAUCCCUGUGGAAUAUGUUGUUUCGCUACUGGUCUCCUUUUGUCUCUCUCUCACUCUCUUCUUUGUUCCUCUGUGUGCUUUCCGUCGGACGAGACGGGAAAUUAGUCGGCGAAUGACUGCAGAGGAGUGGCGCCCGGGGUGGAGAACUCGUCGAGGAACUACUCGAAGGCCCACUUUGAGAAGUCGUUAACGGCGGCUUUGUGAAGUUGGAGAGGACAGCGCCCUGACUAAUUAUCCCGAGCUUUUGGGCUGUUUUAAUAGUACGUUGUCAACCGUAUAAAAUUUGAUGGGCCGGAUAAUUAAGCGGGUGCUUAUUUAGUACGAGAGUGCACCAAACAACAGCUCCUGUAUUACUUAUCCUAUCCGAUGCUUUAUACGGCGUGCCAAACGAGGUGAGCGUGUAUUAGAAAUACGGGAUGGUAAAUCACAUAUUAUUAUAUAAGUGAAAAAAAGUUUUAUUUUUUUAAGUGUGCCUCCACUUAUAUAAUAUAUUGUACUACCCAAAUUCUGAAUAAGUAAAAGAUCUCUCCGAAAAAUACAUAUGCAUGUUUUAUUCAAAAGGUAAGGAAUGAUGCGUCAUCAUCCCUAAUACACUUUAUUAUAGUAGUAGCAUCAAUUGAGGCAGAGAAGUUAAUUAGAUGCUGUCCUUAAUGGAUGCACUAUAACCGUUGUCAUAGAACCUGUUCCAAAGCAUAACUCCUCCGUACUUGGGCGAAUUCUUAAUCGUUGGAAGAACUUGUGACUUGAGAGCGUCAGCAGGAAUAAAUCCGCCGCUCGGAGCGGCCUCAGGAGCUGCCGGUAACCCCAUGAACACCUGGGUGGCCGGAACCGAGGCCCAUUGGUUCCAACUGCUCAAAAGAGCGUCGGCAUUACCGUCCGCAUACUGGCAUUGGGGGUUGUUGUAGAACUGGACCCAAACGUAGUCAAAUAAACCGGUUUGGAUAGCGCCGUCUAGGUGAGCAUCCGGGAUCGGACAUUGUGGAGCUGCGGCUAAAUAGACCGUUUUUGCCUGUCCGUUGUGUCCGUUGAGUGACUUGGCGAGCUCAUCAUAGAACUGCGCACCACCCGCCUCAAUGUCGAAAUCAACGCCGUCCAAAACCGCGUCCCCAAGCGGGCGCGAAGCUGACUGACCACCUAAGAAGUUGUUCCAGAUGUAAUCAGCAACUUGCCUUGCAUCAUCAGCUGAAGUGAGAGAGUAACUUCCGGCGGCCCCUCCAAUCGAGAGGAGGACUUUUAUGUUUUUUGAUUGGCAGGUUCUGAUGUCGGCACUCAGCCCGGUGCAAGUACCACUAGCGGGGUCGCAGUGGCCGGCGAGGUUUAGGACAGGGGUUUGGUUGUUUCCGAAAGUAGUGAGGAAAGCUAUGUUAACAAACUGGUAGUUGCCUGAGUUGCAAGCAUCUGCUAGGGUUCCUUCGUUUCCGUUUUGGCCCCAAUAGACCGCAAUUCCGGCGGCUUGGGAGGACUUGCAUGAAGAAAUGAGGAUCAAGAGGGACAGCGUUAGGGCUAGGGUUUGUGUUUUGGAUGCCAUUUUUAUAUGUUUUUUUGGGUUGUUGUUCAAAGUGCUUGGGAGUGGACAUGUACUUAUAGGUGCAGGGGACUUAUCGGUUAAGGUUUAGGGGAAGAAAAGUAUGACAGACGUGUUCUGCAGGUAAGAGUCUUCUGCUUGCAACCGCGUCAAUCACGUUAGGGCCUGUUUAUUUAGUCCAAGUUUCACUUUACAACUUAGAACACGUCAAUUAAAUUAGGUCGGGUUGAAAAUGCAUUUUCCAAAACCACUUUCACACAUAAGCGCUUCUUAUAUUUUCAUAAAAAUGCAAGUGGUUUUAUAAAAAAAAAAACUUGAGGUGUUUGGCGUGUGUUUUUUCAGAAAGCACUUAAAAUAUUUUUUCAACCUAAAAUCACUGAAUUUUUUAUGAUUUCAAAGUUCUUUUAAUUGUUUUGAAGGCACUUCCAACUGAUAUUUUAUAAAAAAUUACUUCUAGAGAGAAUUAUAGCAUGCUAAUUGAGAGAUUCCGAAACUAAAAAGCCAUCAAAUUUGCCAAAAAAAAAAUCUGAUGAGACAAUACGUGGAGAAUCAACACAGCUGUAUCAUCACCAAAAAUUUUCAGUGUGCAGAAAUACAGUCCGGUACAAAGUGUUAUAAUAAAAUUGGUUGAUUUUUUUUUUUAAGUUUCCAACUAAUUAUAUUAUUACACUUGAUGUACCGAUCCGUAUUUCUGAAAAAUCUCUCCUUACCAUCACAUCACAUGAAUGUUUUGGAAAGUUCGUAGAUAGAAACCAAAAUCUCUCCUUAUCAUCACAUCACAUCACAUGAACGUUUGGGAAGCUCGUCGAUAGAAACCAAAUGGAAUAUGCUUUUAGCUGAGGAUGGCCAUUGGCCAGGGACUUCGGUCUAAUCACGAUGCUUUAAUUUCGCAGUCGGAAAAAAACUUUCGAAUAAAAUUUAGGGUAUAUUUAGGAAGUGUUUUUAAAUGAUUGAAAACAUUUUUAGAAAUAUUUUUUUUUAAAAACGUUUCCAGUCAUUUAAAAAAACUUCUUAAACGAGUUUAAUUACUUGUGUAUGGGGCAACAUUUAGCUAGUAAUGGUUCUCAUGAAUUGGAUUGUGGUGAUGUGAAAAUGGGUUUGGGUUAGUUUAGUUUAGAGUUUAUAUUUACUAUCCGGUGCAUGCAAAUGGAAUGUCAAAUCUUUCAGAGAAAUUUUGAUAGAACUGCCACUUAGGGCAACACAUAUUAAACAAACAAAUGUAGGGUUGGAGAAGACUAAAAUACAUGAAUUCUCGUGUUUUCAUAAAUGUGAUCUAAAAAUAAUAUAGCAUGUGCCCUGAGAACAACGUGAUCAGUACCUAAUCGAAGUUCUCUAGUGUGGAAAGAUUCAAGAGGGGUGUGACGCUUCCGACAAAUAAAAAAUCACACAUUUUCGAAUUCGGAAAUGUAUAGAACAGAGCAGAUAUCACUAGAUGAAUGUUAACUGUUUUACAGAAAAUUUAUAAGACAAUUAGAGUUAAACAACAGAAGCUUGCACUUUAAAUGGUUAUGUCCAGCUGCUUUUGGUAUGUAUAUGCUUUUUCCAUGUCUCGAUGUAGUUCCAGUUCACUGCUCAUCAUCCUGGAACAAUGCUUUCGAAACAGAGCCGCACGGCUGGCUACUGUAUUCUCGGUAAUCUUCAUCGUCAUCACAGCUGCGUUGCGAGCAUGAACGUUUGAUUCCUGUCAUUGGGGUUUCACAGACUCUGUCAUCGCAUGAACCUCUAUGAUCCUUCCUUUUAAACAGCUUUCGAAGCGGAUUUGACUUUGGUUUCAAUGGUUUCAGCCGUUUGGGGGCCCAAACUCUCUGCAGAUCGGGCAUCCAUCUUGUGGAUGAAGCGAAUCUCCAAGCCCUCUCUCUCCUCUCUUGAGCUUCAAGUAACUUGCGAGCAUGGUCGUCCUAUUGUUUGAUCUCUUCGACGCUUGGUCUUCCAAUAUCAGUUUUCAGCGGACGAAGAGACUCACCUUCUGCUUGUAAUGAGUCCCAGAUUCUAUAACUUCCAUCCACUUCGACACUCUUCGGUUUUUCUUUACAGGAUCGAUUGCUAUCCUCACUGUUGAGUAAACUAUUAGGGAGUUCUUCCUCAUCAGCAAACAGUAACAAAUCCAUUUUCGUAUAGAUUUUGUGAACCACAUCUUCAAGUGUCUCACAGUACCUGAAAAAUGUCCAAAUUCAGGCUCUUGACAAUUUGACAAAGCAUUUCAUUGAAAAGGUUCAAUCCUUACUACCAUUAUAAUUUAUAAUGUGUUGUAUGGUUUACCUCGUAAUGGUGCUAAGUUAUUUCUACAGUUUUGGGGCAUUUUUUUUGCAGUUUCGGUGCAAUUUUGAUGCAGUUCUUUUUUUUUGCAAUUUUGCUGCAUUGUUGUUGCUGUUUUUGCUGCAUGUUCAUUGAUUAAUAAAAAGGUCGUACCCAGUGCACAAGGCUCCCUUGAUUAAUAUAUGAGAAAAAUAAGACUGUCAUAUGCUUAAAUAGGUGUAUAUUUUAAAUUAUACAUUUUUUUUUCAAAAAUCGAACCGAAACUGUUUGAAACCGUACCGCACCAAACCAAACGGUUUGGUUUCAUUUCAGUUUUGGCUUCAAAACUGCACCGAACCGCACCGCAAAAAAAUUUGGUUUCGGUUGCGGUUUCACUCGAAACCGCACCGAAGCGCACCGCGCCCACCCCUACAGGGGACUUGUCGAUGAAGGUUUAGGGGAAGAGAAGUAUGACAGACGUGUCUUGCGGGUACAAAAUGGGUGCCAGUCUUCUGCAUGCAUGGAACCGCGUGAACCAAGUUAGGGCCUGUUUAGUCCAAGUUUCACUUGACAACUUAGAAAUUUGUCAAUUAAGUUAGGUCGUGUUGGAAAUUCUUUUUUCAAAAACCACUCAUAAGUGCUUUUAAUAUUUUUCGUAAGAAUGCAAGCGUUUUUAGAAAACACACUCAAGGUGCUUAGCGUGUGCUUUUUUUUAGAAAGCACUUUUAAGUGUUUUUUCAACCUAAAAACACUUGUUUUAAAGACACUUCCAACAAACACAUAAUUAAUGGAAAAUUACUUCCAGAGAGAAAUAUAGCAUGCUAUUUGAGAGAUUCCAAAACUAAAAGCUAAAUAGUUAUUAAGCGUGACCUUAACCAAGGUGAAAUAAAAUAUCAAAUUUGACAAACAAUCUGAUGAACGUCAUAGCUAUAUGUAUAGUCAGUAGAUGAGAUAAUCAUGAAACAAAACGUGGAGAAUCAACACAGCCUUAUCAUGGCCAAAAUUUGUCUGUGUGCCAGAACCACGGCCUAGUACACUAAAAGUGUCAUAAUAGAAUUGGUUGGAAAUUCAUUCGGUUACAACUGACUCUGAAGUCUUUAUUUCUGCACAACCACAUAGUGAGAUGUUUGCUUACCAUGCAACCAUGAUGUCCAAUACUCUUGGUACCUCAAUCGUUGUCUUUACCAAAACUGGUUUUAUGGCUAUUCUAUUGAGCCAUUACCGACCUACCGGGAUCAUAUUUGCCUUCACGAAUGAGUGAGUUUUCAAUUUACCUGUCACAAAGGCAUUUAGUUAAAAUUUGUAACUGUAUCAGUCAAAAUAUGCUGUGAAAGUUCUAUUCAUUAGCAAGUACUUUGAUUGCCAUGCAGUAAGAGCAUACAACGGAGAUUGGCUUUGUAUCAAGGCGUAUGUCCAAUAUAUACAUGGAGUUCACAGAAGAUUCUGAAACAAGCUUUAGCAAUGCCUUGACUGUGCUGAAGGUGAUGUUUUGCUGCAGAUUUCCUAAAUUUAUGGCGACGUAUGCUAUUCAACCAUGCCAGCACUGAUGGUUCAUUUUCUGUUGUUCUGUUUGCAGGAGCAAGGAUUGGUAAAGGCAGGAGAAGAGGUCGCACUCGUUCAAAGUGGCAGGCAACCCAUUUGGCGGCUCCAAUCCACUCACAAAAUUCAAGUGCGCAAAAUUUAGGUGCAACGGAGAUGGAAUAAUCGCCCUCGUAACAUAGAUUUCUUCGUCUACACUACAAAAGUUUCAAAUGAUAGCUUUUGUGUUGUACUUCCAGCGGAAUUGUCGUGAUACUUUCUUCCUUUGGUUGUUUUUUUUCUUCUGUUGCACACUUUUGUGAUCCUAUCAAUGUGCUUCUUUUUGUUUCCGAUUUCCCCCUAGUUAAUUUUGGCGUAUGUUUUAGAACUGUAAGUUGUUAAAGUAUAAAUUUGGCAGUUUGAAUGCAAACUGUCUAAAUUUUUUUAAUAGUUCGAUUGAGGAAACAGAUCGUCACACUCACAUUCUAAUAUCCGCCGCUUACCGUUUGUCGUGUGGCCGUUUAACACUGACUAAGGUAGAUCUCACAUCAGAUCAGCACGGGACUAGGUUCCGUGCUCUUGUGAAAGUUAUUCUACGUACGACGUGAUUCUACACAUGGUUUGUGGUUUGGGCUUGAACCGGUCUCUACGAAAUGAGGCAGAUUUUUUGUUUAUUAACAAAGGUCAAAAGUCAAACAAAAAUUGUUGAUACAGACUAUCUUAAACAAAAUUAAACAACAUUCGCUUGAAUAAUUAUCAAAUUGACAAUGUCUCAUAGGUGAUGCUGUCCAUACACUCUUUUUAUUUUUCACUCACUCCUCCCAAUUUUUAACCGUCAGAUCGAAUAAAUUAAAGAUGAUCAAAAGACAAAAAUUAACUGAAGAUAUGUGAAAGAAAAAACAAAAUGUAUAUAUAGCAUCACCUAUCUUAUUAGGAUAAUGACAUCCGAUUUAUUUGAUAUAAUCUUUUAGGGAAACCAAAACGUUGAGUUACAAAAGUCAAACUCUUCCGAUGAUGGAAUAACUAUAUCCAUUUUUAUCAUCACAAAACUCGGACCCUAACAUCACACCACCAUACUUCGACGACUUCUUUAUCACCAGUAGAAUUUCCGAAUUCAGCAAAGCAGCCACAAUAUACCCACUUCUGGCCACCUCAGGAGUGGCCGGCAACCCCAAAAACAUCUUCCCUUUCUAAUACAUUAAUGAUGUCAGUUGGCGUCUUAACAAGAUGGGAGACUUUGGAGUCGCUUUAUUGGGAUCUCCCGAGUACUCGGUACUCUAUGUAUUUUAACCGUUAAAUCUUUGUUUAAAAAUAUAAAAAUCAAAUUCUAACAGUUAAAAUAUUCAAAAUAUCCAUAGUACCGCUCGAAAUUUUUUGAGACAUUAAAUGCAAUCCCUCCAAGAAAUCAUCUCAAAUUUUUUUGAGACAUUAAAUGCGAUCUCUCCAAGAAAUUAUUAGAUUAUACCGUAGUACCAUCUCAGCCGUGGUAGUUUCAUCCAAAGGCUAGCCUUUACAAUAUGAGCUAGCCAGCCUUCAUGCACACAGUGCCUGCCAAUCAUGUAAAACCAUUGACAAUGAUACAUGACAAUUUAUUUGGACCUAUAACUUCAUUUCAUAACUACAUCAGAUAACCGUUUAUGUGCAACUAUAUUUUAUUCAAUUUCAAAAAUUAGCAUAUGCAAUGACAUGUUUUAUCGUAAAAAGUACAAGAAAUUUUCAACGUAUCACAAAUACAAAGUGUUAUACCACAUGUCAUUAUAUAAAGAGAAAUUUUUUAUAUUUUAAGUCUGUCUCCACUUAUAUAAUAUGUGUUGUACCAUCCGAAUUCCGGAUCAGUAAAAGAUCUCUCCAAAAAUACAUAUGCAUGUUUUAUUCAAAAGGUUAGGAAUGAUGCGUCAUCAUCCCUAACGCACUUUAUUAUAAGUAGUAUCAUCCAUUGAGGCAGAGAAGUUAAUUAGAUGCUGUCCUUAAUGGAUGCACUAUAGCCGUUGACAAUGUCAUACUGCCUGCCCCAGAGCAUAAUUCCUCCGUACUUGGGCGAUUUCUUAAUCGUUGGAAGAACUUGUGACUUGAGAGCGUCAGCAGGAAUAAAUCCGCCGCCCGGAGCGGCCUCAGGAGCUGCCGGUAUACCCAAGAACACCUGGGUGGCCGGAACCGAGGCCCAUUGGUUCCAACUGCUCAAAAGAGCGUCGGCAUUACCGUCUGCAUACUGGCAUGGGGGGUUGUUGUAGAACUGAACCCAAACGUAGUCAAAUAAACCGGUUUGGAUAGCGCCGUCUAGGUGAGCAUCCGGGAUCGGACAUUGUGGAGCUGCGGCUAAAUAGACCGUUUUUGCCUGUCCGUUGUGUCCGUUGAGUGACCUGGCGAGCUCAUCAUAGAACUGCGCACCACCCGCCUCAAUGUCGAAAUCAACGCCGUCCAAAACCGCGUCCCCAAGCGGGCGCGAAGCGGACUGACCACCUAAGAAGUUGUUCCAGAUGUAAUCAGCAACUUGCCUUGCAUCAUCAGCUGAAGUGAGAGAGUAACUUCCGGCGGCCCCUCCAAUCGAGAGGAGGACUUUUAUGUUUUUUGAUUGGCAGGUUCUGAUGUCGGCACUCAGCCCCGUGCAAGUACCACUAGAGGGGUCGCAGUGGCCGGCGAGGUUUAGGACAGGGGUUUGGUUGUUUCCGAAAGUAGUGAGGAAAGCUAUGUUAACAAACUGGUAGUUGCCUGAGUUGCAAGCAUCUGCUAGGGUUCCUUCAUUGCCGUUUUGGCCCCAAUACGUCGCGAUUCCGGCGGCUUGGGAGGACUUGCAUGAAGAAAUGAGGAUCAAGAGGGACAGCGUUAGGGCUAGGGUUUGUGUUUUGGAUGCCAUUUUUGUAUGUUUUUUUGGGUUGUUGUUCAAAGUGCUUGGGAGUGGACUUGUACUUAUAGGUGCAGGGGACUUAUCCGUUAAGGUUUAGGGGAAGAAAAGUAUGACAGACGUGUUCUGCGGGUUAGAAAUGGGUGCCAGUCUUCAGCUUGGAACCUCGUCAAUCAAGUUAGCUAGGGCCUGUUUAGUCCAAGAAGUUUCACAUAAAACGCCGAUUAAGUUAGGUCGGGUUGGAAAUGCUUUCUUCAAAAACUACUUACACACGUAAGCGCUUCUUAUAUUUUUCAUAAGAAUGCAAGUGCUUUUGAAAAAAAACACUUGAGCUGUUUCGUGUGUUUUUUUCAGAAAAUACUUUAAAUGUUUUUUCAAACUAAAAAUCCAUUAAAGCUCCUUUACUUGUUUAAGGGCACUUCCAAAAUCAUAUUUAAAGAAAAAUUACUUCUAGAGAGAAUUAUAACAUGCUAAUUGAGAGAUCCCGAAACUAGAAACUAGAUAGUUAUAAUGAAGCGUGACCUUAACUGCUUAAUUAAGUGAAAAAAGCCAUCAAAUUUGACAAAAAGUCUGAUGAAAGGUCAUAGCUGUAUCAUCUGUAGAUGAGAUAAUCAUGAAACAAUGUGGGGAAUCAACACAUCCUUAUCAUCGUCAAAAAAAAAAAUUCACUGUGCUGGAAGCACGUUCAAUUGAACGUUUUGGAAGUUUGUGGAUAGAAACCAAAUGGAAUAUGCUUGUAACCAAAAUUGCUGGCUGCUAUAUACAUCUUGGAUUUUAGCUGAGGUGGCCAUUGGCCAAGGACUUUGGUCUAAUCACGAUGCUUUAAUUUCGCAAUCCAAAAAAAAAAUUCAGAUAAAAUUUAGAACACGUUUUGGGAGUGCUUUCAAAUUACUGAAAGCGAUUUUAGAAAGAAAAAAAAUGUUUAUAUAACUAAUCUUUAAUAAAAAUGCAAGUUAAUCCUCCAAAAGUACUGAAACUAGUGCUUCUUUGAUAAAACACUUCAAGUGCUUUUGGAGCUCAAAAAUAUUAUCUCAAGUGGUUUCAGUCAUUUAAAAACACUUUCUAAACGAGUUAAUGACUCGUGUAUGGGGCAACAUUUAGCAAGUAACGGCUCUCAUGAAUUGGAUUGUGGUGAUGUGAAAAUGGGUUUGGGUAAGUUUAGUUUAGACCAGUCAGCAGUGUUUAAAAUAUCCACGACAUUAUCGAUAUUUUCGUUGAAAUAUCCUUAAAAUUAAGGGUCCAUAAGCAAAAGAAGGAUGAAAUGCAAACUUCACCCUAUAUCGGCAAGAUACAAGAAAACAAUGAAUAUAGACAAUAUGUAACAACUCGUCCCAAGAUUUACUGUAUAUAAAUGGUAUUUUUGUAUUUUCAUCAAGUUUGGGAAUUUAUCUUCCUUUUAAAAUUUGUUUUUGGUCUUAAAUGGUGAUCCAAGGGGACCCACUCCCCUGAUUUUGUCCCCGAGCCCUCUUCUCUCUUUCUUCCUCUCCUCUUCCCUUUCCCCUUUCCCGUAUACUUCUAUUCCUCUCUUCUCUAUGAUCACACUCACACCCAGCUGCACUCCCUGCUCGAGGAAGACGCAAUCACCAUCUAAACCACGUCCCUUUCCUCUUCCUCUUGCCUCUGUGCAACUCGGCGAAACCAAGAAAAUAACCUCCGGCAAGUCCGACGGCUUUCGAAGCCAUUUCCUGCCAAACCACGGCGCGUUGGCCGGCGUGCAAGGUAUCAAUCUCUUCGUCCCGUCAAGUACUAUAACUUUUCUUUUUGUUUCACUCAAUUUAAUUGAGUAUUGAAGAAGUUAUACUCAUUUGAAUCUUACCCAGUUUCCGGCGACCUCCGAGGCUUUCGAGGAAAUUUCAGGCCAAACCAUGGCGAGUCAGACGUGAGGUAUCAUUCUCUUCGUCUCUUCCAGGACUACAACUUUCGUUUUUGUCUCGCUUGAUUUCGUUGAGUAGUGACAAAGUUAUGGCUGUUUAAAGUGGGGUGGUUUUCCGGCCGAAUUUCCGGCCUUCUUCUUCCUUGGCAACAGGCCACCCGGCCUUUCCCUCUCCCUCGGACCUUAGGCCCGUGUUGUCUUAAGCCCAAAACCCUAGCCUUUAGUUUUAAGUUUUAUUAUUUGGUUUUAAAACCCUAAAAAGGGCCUUGGGCCGGUGGUUUUUAAAAAGGGCUUAAAGCCCUGUUUUUCUUUAUUUAUUUUUAUUAAGGCCUUAAGGCCUUGUGAUUUUGUGCCCGUGGGUGUGUGUGUUAGGUGUGUAUGUGUUUAUGCAUGCACAUGCAUGCCGUGUGUGUGUGUGUAUUUGUAGUAUGUGUGUGUUUGGGCUAAAGCCCAAACCCCAAUUCUCACCCUAAAACCAUUUUAACCCAAAAUCCUAGGUUCCUAAAAUCCUUUAAAACCCUAAACCCAUCCAAUCCCAAAUCCCCUAUUUUAUUUAAACCUAAACCCUAAUCCGGAUUUCAAGCCUAAAACCCAUUUGACCGUUGACCCCCGGUCAACGUUGAUUUUAGGGUUGACUUUUCGGGUUUUCGUCCGGGACCCUUCUUAGGGUAAUUCGACGUUCUAAAUCCGUUUCCAAUGUCCAUUUUCCCAAAUUCAAUUGUUAUUAUAUAGUUUUAUUUAUUGGACUCUUUAUGUGCUUAGGGGCAAUUAUUGUGACGUUUCCAUCUUCGCUAGUGGCACAGCUUUUGGCAACUAAGUAUUGUGAGUGGACCCCUUCUAGAAUUACAUGAUUUGAUAAUUUAAUUGCAUAAAUGAUUAGCAUGCCUACGAAUUUAUGAUUUGAUUUAUGUGAAGCCUGAUGAUUUAAUAUAUUGAUUAUCGUCUCGGGUUUUGGUGAGGAAUUAUUUGUUAGCCUAUAUUGAGCUAUAUUUUAAUAUAUCGUAUUUUCUAUUAAAACCAUGAACUGGUAGACUAUCUGAUAGAUGACGAUAGGAUGCUAGAACAUGUUUUUGAACCCCUCUUUAUAGUGUAGACGAUGAUCGGUAACCUAUGCUAUGAAGUGGUUUUUUUUAGAGAGACGUAACUAUUUGUGCGUACCUAGUAGACACUAUGCCGCCUGGGGCAAGGAACUGGUGUUGGCAUUUAGGCCGGGAGAAAUAAUCCCUAGCGAAAGGCUGAGGGACACGGAGACAGGCAGUGGGCCAAGAGGGAGUUAUCUCUGGCUACGGGCACAGAGACUGAGGUGCAAGCAUUGGGCCGGGAGUUAUAUUUAUUCAGUGAUCUUUCUAGCAGCACACUGCGUUUACGAGACGAUUUAUGAUGCGUUUACUGUUUUGAUUUCCGCGAUGUUUUUCCGCGUUAUGGCGUUUGAGAUAUUUUUGGCAUACUAGGAUUUUUAUUAAAUCCAUCACUUAUUAUGCUAGUAGUUUUCAUUUAUAUAAACUUUGGGGGUUAGUAUGUUGAUAAUUGUUUUAUUAUUAUUGUAUAUAUAAACUUGGUCCACUCACCUUUGUUUUGCGCCCCCAUUCAGGACUUAGAAUCAAGGCACCUAAUCCCGGCGUGAAGACACUUUCGCAGCAGCAUCUUCGGAUCCUCUCGAUGUAGGACUCACUCCUUUACUCAUUAAAUUUUAUCUUAAUUCUUUUUAGUGAUUAGAUUUAGUUGUAUGCUCUGAGCACGUUCCUAAAACUUUUAACUCUUAGUUUUUAAAUUCAUAACACUUACUUAUUUCUUAUUCUUAGCUUUUGUAUCAAUUAAUGGCUUUCGUCACCCUCGGGUGUCGGCCAGCAUGUGUCUUCCUGGUAUUCGGGGAAUAUCAGGGUCGGGGCGUGUCACAAUAUUUACGGAUUAAUUACAAAAUUUUGCUAAUACCUAUUGCAGAUUUCGAACUGUAGAAUUUUUUUUAUAAAUUUUUUCUUUAAUUUCAACUAAAUCUGAAUGAGUACUUACCCCAUUGUAAAUUUCCAUCGAAGACUUUCCAACUAUAUCGAUAUUUUAAACACUGGUUUAGACCAACAUGUUUAAUAUCCAGUGCAUGCAAAUAGAAUGUCAAAUCUUUUUGAAAAACUUCAGUAUGACUGCCACUUAAGGGCAACUAGCAUAUUAAAGAGACCAAUGCAAAGUUGGAUGAGACUAAAAUACAUAAAGUCUCAUGUUUUGGUGAGAUGUGGUUUACAAAUGAUAUAGCAUGUGCCCUACGAAAAACGAGAUCGGAUUACCUAAUUGAAGUUUCUCUAGCAUGAAAAAUUCAAGAGGGAUGUGACGGUUCCGGAAAGUAAAAAAUCACACAUUUUUAUUAAUAAUUUUUUUGUUCGAAUUCGGAAAUGUAUAGAACUGAACAAAUGGAAUAGUGGCUCAGUGAUACCAACAAUUUCAUGUUGCAAAUUACAAAAAAAAAAAAAAAAAAAAAAAAAAAAGGAAAUGUUUUACACAAAAUUAAUGACAAUUAGAGUUAAACAACAGAAACUUGCACUUUAAAUGGUUUUUUUCUGCUGCUUUUGGUAUGUAUAUGCUUUUUCCGCACCGCUGGCUACUGUAUUCUCGGUAAUUUUCAUCGUCAUCCCAGCUGCGUUGCGAGCAUGAACGUUUGAUUCCUGUCAUUGGGGUUUCACAUACUCUGUCAUCACAUGAACCUCCAUGAUCCUUCCUUUUAAACAGCUUUCGAAGUGGAUUUGACUUUGGUUUCAAUGGUUUCAGCUGUUUUGGGGCCCAAAUUCUCUGCAGAUCGGGCAUCCAUCUUGUGGAGUAAGCGAACCUCCGAGCCCUCUCUCUCCUCUCUUGAACUUCAAGUAACUUGCGAGCAUGGUCGUCCUUUUGUUUGAUCUCUUCAGCGCUCGGUCUUCCAAUAUCAGUUUUCAGCGGACGAAGAGACUCACCUACUGCUGGUAAUGAAUCCCAGAUUCUAUAACUUCCAUCCACUUCGACACUCUUCGGUUUUUCUUUACAGGAUCGAUUGCUAUCCUAACUGUUGAGUAAACUAUUAGGGAGUUCUUCCUCAUCAGCAAACAGCAACAAAUCCAUUUUCUUAUAGAUUUUGCGAACCACAUCUUCAAGUGUCUCACAGUACCUGAAAAAUUCCAAAUUCAAAGAUUAAUCUAUCUGCUUAAGUUAAUUUUCCAUCUCAAACAAAAAUUGAUUGCCCGCACAUGUACUUCCGGAAAACUAAUUCCAGGAACGGAUUAUUUAAGCAACAUCGUUUCUUCAAGGAUCAUACUGUAGACAUACACUAUUGGCACAUUGCAAAAGUUGUAUAAACAUAUUCCACACUCGUUCAGAAAAACAUGGGUACGAUGUGCGCAUAACUGGCCUAUAUCCUGUCAAUCUACACUGAUAAGGAAAGACACUUUAACUCAUCUAAGAUUAUAAAGACAACCACUUUCCUUAUUUAGCAUUGUUGCAAAGGUAAGUAGGACAUGAUUUGUUAGAUAGGUAGUAAUAUCCCACAUGAAAGUGGAACACAGUGGCACCGGAAAUGUGUAUUUGUUGAGACAUGAACGAUAGACUGAAUGCAGCGUGUGCUAUAUAGCCUUUCAGCGAAAGCCAUAAUGCCUCAGUAAAACAUCCAUUAUAUAAAGUAAAGAAUAAUUUCAAGGGUAGGGGUUUUCAACUGUGGUACAGAUUUAUUACCUGCUUUUUAUGAUCUUUUCAACAUAAUCAUACACUCCAGUCACCAAAGAAGCCCUCCAGAUGACAUCGAAUUUUCUCCAAAAAGGAGCAAAUCUGUUUUACAGACUUCUGUUUUGUAGAUUCAGCAAUACGUGCACCAACCUCUGAUUGUAGUAUCUCCAUCCGGAAAAAUAUCUGCAAUUCAUAUCGUGCACGAGCUGGCGCAAGGAGGCGGCGAAGCACGAAGCCCGGGGCGGCGAUGCCGGGUCGAGGCGAAAUGCGGGGAGGGAAUUGAGGGUUUGGGAGAGGGAAUUGAAAGUGGGGCCGGGGAGGUGGAAAGAGAGGGAGAGAGAAGUGGGGAGCUUGGAGGAGGAGAGCAGCGGAGAGAGGGAGGAGAAGAAGGGUCUGAAGGCGAAGAGAGAGGCGGAGAGAGGAGGGAAAGAGAGGAUGGUUUUGACGGCGGCGAGGAAGGCUGUGAGAAAUGGAGCUGGGUUUUGGAGGUGGAGGAGUGGGUUGAGGCCUAGGAGGAGGACGAUGCGCUGCGUUUUGCCGUAGUCGGCGAUUGGGUCGCCGGAGCUCCGUUCAGAUGCCAUCGCAUUUGCAGGAGGAGAAAGAGACGGACUUGGGUUGCAGAGAAGGGAGAUGCAAAUGUGGAAUUAAGGAACAGUAAACCGAAUACGCAGUCGUUUUAGUAGAAAAACGACGAUACGGUAGAUGCUUGAGCGGGAAACCAAAUUUUGGCUGUAAAGGAAAUGUUUUAGGCCCCGUUUGGGAUUGAGGUGAUUUUAAAAAAAGCCACUGUGAAAAAAAGCUGAGGGUCAUUUUUGUGUUUGGUAAACUGAAAAAAGGGCUUAUUUUGGAAGCUGCUGUGAAAAUAAGCUGAAAAUCAAAGGAAAAGCUGAAGCUGCUAUUUGCUGCUUUGAAAAAAAGCCAGUUUUUUCAAAGCACACAGAGCUACAAUGCUCCUUUAAUGAAAAGACACACUAUCAUCCUGAUUUUUUUUCCAAAAGCACUUUCACAAAAAAGUUUACCAAACACUCUACUGCUUUAUUUCACAGCCGCUUAUUCUCACAGCACAGCCGCUUAUUCUCACAGCAGCUUUUUUUCAAAGCACAGCAAUACCAAACCAGCCCUUAAUCUCAUGAAGGACCUGUUUGGACUGCAUCUAAAUUUGUUAAAAGCGCUUUUAGAGAACAAAAGAGCUUUUGACAUCAGUUGAAAAAAAAAAAAUAUUUAAAGUACUUCUUCACGUGAAAAAAACACAUGGUUUUUAAUGAAAAUUCCAACAUGAUUUGAAUGAAAGUGCUUUCAAAAAGUAUUAUGAAUAGAUAUGCUUUUUUAUAUGCUUCUAUGAAAAGUGCUUUUUGCAAACAAUGUCGGGCUCGUUUGUAAUUACUUUUAAAAUGGUUGAAAGUGUAUUUCGUAAAAAUAUUUUUAGAAACAAUAUUUAGUAAAAUGCAAGUGAAUCCUAAAAAAAACACUUCAAGAAUAGAACAACCAAAGGGGCGAAAACUGUAAACCUCAUAGCAACCGAAUUACAAUUCGAGAACAUACCCGUUACUGAAUCCCAAAUCGCUGGUUCCCAAGUGUAGUCAUGCACAAGCUCGUUUAGAACCAAUAUUUUCUCUAAGAACGAUUUCAAUCAUUUGAAAAACAUUUUUAAACGAACUGAUGUUUUUAGGAGAAACACAAUGAGGAGCAAAUGAUUCCUAGGCGAGAAGAAAAACUAGACAGAAUGUUAAAUAGCACAUUAUGUACCAAUUUUUCUUCAACAAAUUGGAACUACUGAGAAGUUUGGAAACUAAAAAGUAAAGAUUGAUUCUAAGGAUUCUAACCCUGAUGAUUGCUUAUACAGUCGAACUACUUGAAUAGACUGGACUACCGAAGAUAAACUCAUACAUAUACGAAUUAUUAAAAAGUGAAAGAGGCUCAUCUCAGUUUUUUUUUUUUUUUUUAGUUGAAAGAAAAAAAAGGUAAAACAUGGAGAAGAUCAUGAACAGUAAUGGGUUUUAGUAUAUAUAAAUAUAAUUUGUAACUGUAUCUGUCCAAAUAUGCCGUGCAAGUUCUAUUCAUUAGCAGGUACUUUGAUUGCCAUGCAGUAAGAGCAUACAACGGAGAUUGGCUUUGUAUCAAGGCGUACGUCCCAUACACCUCUUUUAUGGGUGAUGCUGUCCACACACUUCUUUUAAUUACCAGUCGUCAUAUAGAAUGAAUUCAAGAGGAUCAAAUGACUAAAAUUAACAGAGAAUAUGUAAAAGAUAAACCAGAGUGUAUGGAUAACACCACCCUAUCUUAUUAGGAUAAUAACAUCCGAUGUGUUUGAUAUAAUCUUUUAGGGACUAACCAAAACAUUGAGUUACAAAAGUCAAACACUUCCGAUGAUGGAAGAACUAUAUCCACUUCUAUCGUCACAAAACUUGGACAAUAACAUCACACCACCAUACUUUGACGACUUCUUUAUCACCGGCAGAAUUUCCGAAUUCAACAAAGCAGCCGGAACAUACCCACUCUUGGCCGCCUUAGGAGCCGCCAGCAACCCCAAAAACAUCUUCCCUGUCUAAUACAAUGAUGUCACUUGGCGUCUUAACAAGAUGGGAGACUUUGGAGGGACUUUAUUGAGUACUCCAGAGUACUCAGUACUCUCAUUUGUUUAAAAAUAUAAAAAUCAAAAUCUAACGAUUAAAACAUCUAGAGUAUCCAUAUAUAGUACUGCUCAAAACUUUUUGAGACAUUGGACGUGAUCCCUCCUAGAAAUUAUUAAGUUAUACAGUAGUACACUUCAGCCGUGAUACUUUCAUUCAAAGGCUAGCUUUAUACUAAUAUGUGAUACUUUCAUUCCAUAUUUGAGAGCCAUUGGAUAAGUAUAAAGCUAACCUUUACAAUAUGAGCUAGUUAGUUAGCCUUCACACACACAGUGCCUGCCUAUCAUGUAACCAUUGACAAUGAUACCCGACAAUUUAUUUGGAGAGAGGGUCCUCACUCAUUUAUUUGGACCUAUAACUUCAUUUCAUAAUAACUCCAUCACAUCAUUUUAUGUACCAUAGUUUAUUCAAUUUCAAAAAUUAGUACACGCAAUAACAUGUUUUAUCGUAAAAUAUACGAGGUUUUUUAGUAUAUUAGAAAUACGAGAUGAUGCACCACAUGUCAUUAUAUAAAUGAAGAGAAAUUUUUUUUUUUUUUAAAUGUGCCUCCACUUAUAUAAUGUAUUGUACCACCCAAAUUCUGAAUAAGUGAAAGAUCUCUCCAAAAAAUACAUAUGCAUGUUUUAUUCAAAAGGUAAGGAAUGAUGCGUCAUCAUCCCUAACACACUUUAUUAUAGUAGUAGCAUCAAUUGAGGCAGAGAAGUUAAUUAGAUGCUGUCCUUAAUGGAUGCACUAUAACCGUUGUCAUAGAACCUGCUCCAAAGCAUAACUCCUCCGUACUUGGGCGAAUUCUUAAUCGUUGGAAGAACUUGUGACUUGAGAGCGUCAGCAGGAAUAAAUCCGCCGCUUGGAGCGGCCUCAGGAGCUGCCGGUAACCCCAUGAACACCUGGGUGGCCGGAACCGAGGCCCAUUGGUUCCAACUGCUUAAAAGAGCGUCGGCAUUACCGUCUGCAUACUGGCAUGGGGGGUUGUUGUAGAACUGAACCCAAACGUAGUCAAAUAAACCGGUUUGGAUAGCGGCGUCCAGGUGAGCAUCCGGGAUCGGACAUUGUGGAGCUGCGGCUAAAUAGACCGUUUUUGCCUGUGCGUUGUGUCCGUUGAGUGACCUGGCGAGCUCAUCAUAGAACUGCGCACCACCCGCCUCAAUGUCGAAAUCAACGCCGUCCAAAACCGCGUCCCCAAGCGGGCGCGAAGCGGACUGACCACCUAAGAAGUUGUUCCAGAUGUAAUCAGCAACUUGCCUUGCAUCAUCAGCUGAAGUGAGAGAGUAACUUCCGGCGCCCCCUCCAAUCGAGAGGAGGACUUUUAUGUUUUUUGAUUGGCAGGUUCUGAUGUCAGCACUCAGCCCCGUGCAAGUACCACUAGGGGGGUCGCAGUGGCCGGCGAGGUUUAGGACAGGGGUUUGGUUGUUUCCGAAAGUAGUGAGGAAAGCUAUGUUAACAAACUGGUAGUUGCCUGAGUUGCAAGCAUCUGCUAGGGUUCCUUCGUUGCCGUUUUGGCCCCAAUAGAUCGCAAUUCCGGCGGCUUGGGAGGACUUGCAUGAAGAAAUGAGGAUCAAGAGGGACAGAGUUAGGGUUAGGGUUUGUGUUUUGGAUGCCAUUUUUGUAUGUGUUUUUUUGGGUUGUUGCUCAAAGUGCUUGGGAGGGGACAUGUACUUAUAGGUGGAGACUUACUGGUUAAGGUUUAGGGGAAGAAAAAUAUGACACACGAGUUCUGCUUGUAAGAAAUGGAUGCCAGUCUUCUGCUUGUCAAUCAAGUUAGCUAGGGCCUGUUUGGUCGAAGUUUCACAUGAAACGUCGAUUAAGUUAGGUCGGGUUGGAAAUGCUUUCUUCAAAAACCACUUACACACGUAAGCUCUUCUUAUAUUUUUCAUAAUAAUGCAAGUGCUUUUGGAAAAAACACGAGAGGUGUUUCGCAUGUGUUUUUUUCAAAAAGCACUUCAAAUAUUUUUUCUACCUAAAAAUCCAUUAAAGCUCCUUUACUUGUUUUAAAGAAACUUCCAAAAUAAUAUUUAAAGAAAAAUUACUUCUAGAGAGAAUUAUAACAUGCUAAUUGAGAGAUCCCGAAACUAGAAACUAGAUGGUUAUAGUGAAGCGUGACCUUAACUGCUUAAUUAGGUGAAAAAAGCCAUCAAAUUUGACAAAAAGUCUGAUGAAAGGUCAUAGCUGUAUGCAUAAUCCGUAGAUGAGAUAAUCAUGAAACAAUACGUGGGGAAUCAACACAGCCUUAUCAUCGUCAAAAAAUUUUAGUGUUCUAGAAACACGAUCUGAUAUACAAAAUGUUUUAACAUCAAUUGAACGUUUUGGAAAUUUGUGGAUAGAAACCAAAUGGAAUAUGCUUGCUAGCUGCUAUAUACAUCUUGGAUUUUAGCUGAGGUGGCCAUUGGCCAAGGACUGCGAUCUAAUCACGAUGCUUUAAUUUCGCAGUACGAAAAAAAUUUCAGAUAAAAUUUAGAACAUGUUUAGGGAGUGCUUUCAAAUCACUGAAAGCGAUUUUAGAAAGAAAAAAAAUGUUUAUACAACUAAUUUUUAAUAAAAAUGCAAGUUAAUUCUCUAAAAGUAUUGAAAUUAGUGCUUCUUUGAUGAAUUACUUUAAGUGCUUUUGGAGCUCAAAAAUAUUUUCUCAAGUGGUUUCAGUUAUUUAAAAACACUUUCUAAACGAGUUAAUGACUCGUGUAUGGCAACAUUUAGCAAGUAAUAGCUCUCAUGAAUUGGAUUGUGGUGAUGUGAAAAUGGGUUUGGGUAAGUUUAGUUUAGAUCAGUCACCAGUGUAUAAAAUAUCCAUGAAAUUGUCGAUAUUUUCAUCAAAAUAUCCUUAAAAUUUAGGGUCCAUAAGGAAAAGAAGGGUAAAAUAUAAAUUUCAACCUAUAUUGGCGAGAUAUAAGAAAACAAUGAAUAUCGACAAUAUUUACCAAUUAACUACAAAAUGUUGCUAAAACCUAUUGCAGAUUUUGAACUUUAGAAUUUUUUUUUUAUAAAUUUUUUCUUUAAUUUCGACUAAAUCUGAAUGAGUUGAUACUUGAUAUGCUUAUCCCAUUGUAAAUUUCCAUCAAAGACUUUCCAACUAAAUCGAUAUUUUAAACAUUGGUUUAGACCCACAUGUUUAAUAUCCAGUGCAUGCAAAUAGAAUGUCAAAUCUUUCAGAAAAACUUCAGUAGGACUGCCACUUAAGGGCAACUAGCAUAUUAAAGAGACCAAUGCAAGGUUGGAUGAGACUAAAAUACAUAAGAGCAAUUCCACCGGGGACCAAAUGUCCCAGCCUCCAGUCCAAAAACCAAGCCAGGCCUCUGUCAAUCAAGUCCACCCCAACAAACUGACUGGUACCCAGCCCGAGUUGGGCAAGAGCCCAGCCCAAAAGAGACUGAGACAGAAGCCGGGGAAGAAGCCUGGCGCGUGCACUUCACGUAGCCGUUUGGCGAGUGCCCGACAAGCUUUCAGACGCCGGGGCCCGCGUGCAGGCGCUGUCAGUCCCCCCCCCGAGUUGCGACGUGGCUACCUCUCUGCCGUUGGAUUUCCAACGGCUAGUUUUCUAGACCGUUGGAUUUCCAACGGUAAAAAAAUUUUAAAUUUUACUUUUAAACUAGACCGUCGGAUCAAAGAUCAACGGUCCACGUUUUUUUCACAAAAAGUAAAUUAAAAAAAAAAAAAAAGGGCCCAACGGUCAGAAAUAUGACCGUUGGCCACGUGGCAACUCCCUAGCUCUUGGAUUUGAAUAUUUUUCAAAUCCAACGGUCCAGAUUAAUUAACUAUAUUAAAAUUCAUUAAAAAUUAUUAAAAAAUACAGAAAAAUUAUUAAAAAAUACAGAAAAUUUUAAAAAAAUUACAGAAAAUUUUGAAAAAUGUUAAUUUUUUUUCCUAUAAAUACCUAACCCUCAUCUUCUACCUUUACACCACAUUCCAAUAUUUUCUACACUUUCUAUACUAUCUACAUUUCAAAAUAUUUUCUACACUUUAAGAGAAAAAAAAUGUCUUCGUGGAAGCUCAUUGAAGAUGUUACGUUGUGUGAAUGUUGGGUUCACACUACUCAUGAUCCGAUUACGGGUAAUGAGAUGGAUAAGCGAGAGAUGUGGAGUAAAAUUACGAAAGCGUUUUGUGAUGUACAUGGAGAAAACGCCAGAACUAGUCAAGGUCUUCAAGGUCGUUGGAAAAAACUCAAUGCAUCAUUUACUUGUUGGAAAAACGCCAUCUCUCAUGCUUCCGGUAACCUCCGUAGUGGGACAAGUUUAGCGGAUCAGGUGACAAUAUUUUUUAUUUAUUUAUAUGCAUUCCACUCACAUUAAUAUUUUGAUUUAUUUAAUUUCGUAUGUAAUUUUUAUCUUAUUUCUUAUGUAAUUUUUAUUUAAUUUCUUAUGUAAUUUUUAUUUAAUUUCUUAUGUCAUUUUUAUGUAAUUUAUAUGCAUUCCACCCGUAUUAAUAUUUUGAAUUUAUUUAUUUGUGUUACACCCGCAUUUUUUAACACUAUGUUAUCCCACUUUUUUAUAGACACUACAAGCUCAAGCAUUCUACAAUUCAAAGAACGGGAACAAAUCAUUCAAUAGAUUGGAAUGUUGGCAAAUUGUCAAAGAUUGCCCUAAAUACAAAAUUGUGGCAACUGGUCCAGAAGUUGUCAUGCACGGUAUGGGUCUACAUAGUUCUCCAGAACCAGACAUGGCCGAACAAGAAGCCGACACAUUUCAAGACACGGAAGGGACGGCUGAACAAGUGCCCGAGACCCAACCGACUCGUCAGUCCCUAAGGCCUCUAGGUAAAAAGGCGUCAAAGAAAAAAGGUAGUUCUUCCAAAAAAUGACUACACUAAAUAUAUGGAGGAACUUGCUCGCCAAGGUGAACUAAACUUGGCACGAGAAAAGGCUAGAGAUGAGGAAAAAGUUGCUGCUAUGGCAGCAAUAUUAGCAGCUACUGAGGCCCGUGAUGCGGCGGCUGAAAGACAAAGAGAAGUAGUUAAUCGAGAGAACGAGCUGGUUAGAGAAGCACUUCAUCGAGAAAAUGAAUUGCUUCGAGAAGAAAGGAUGGCUCAAGCAUCGUGAUCGUGACACUAUGAGCAAGUCUCUAGUAGGACUGUCUCCGAAUUCUAAAUAUUUUUUAGACAUCGGAAAAAGAGAUGCCAUGCGUAGGAGGCGUGCAAGAGAUGCGGAAACAAGUCAAGGGGGUUCUAGCUACACAAAUCAUGGCAACCAAGAUCCUAGCACCACAUAUCCUAACUCGAGAGACUUUAUUUAAUUUCUUAUGUAUUUUUAUGUAUUUUCUUUCUUUUUUCUAGUAGAACUUUAUUUAAUUUCUUAUGUUUUUUCUUUUUUUUAGGUUUGAACUUUAUUUAUUUUCUUAUGCAAUUUUAAUGUAAUUAUUUAUUUAAUUUCUUUUGUACUUUAUUUAAAACACAUGAAAUAAGAUUACACAUAAACUCACCAAAUAAAUUUAAAAACAAAACACAUUACAUAGAAUUACAUAAACUCACCAAAUAAACUUAAAAACAAAACACACUACAUAGAAUUACAUAAACUCACCAAAUAAACUUAAAAACAAAACACACUACAUAGAAUUACUUAAACUUAAAAAAAAAUACAAUUUAUUCUUCAACCACAAGCCUCAUUCUAAUUAUCUUCGCCUCCAUGCAAUCCCCACUGGUGCUCAAUCAAGUCAUUCUGGCGGGUUACGUGCCAGUAUGGCUCUUGCACAUUAGUGUACCGCUGAACGAUCAAUUCAUUGUAACGUCCAUCACGUUCCAACGGCUCGUGUUGCACUGGAUCUUCGGUCCCAUCAUGAGCACAAUAAAUACGUGUUCUUGAGUUGUUCAUCGGAUCUGGCUCAUAUUCAUCGACGGCAUCAUAAUCAUACUCAUCUUCAACAAUCAUGUUAUGGAGAAUAAUACACGUCAUCAUGAUGGAUCGAAGAGCCUCGACAUCAAACAUUCUAGCUGCAGCCCUGACAAUCGCCCAACGAGCUUGCAGGAUACCAAAACAACGCUCGACAUCCUUCCUACACCCUUCUUGACAUUUUGCAAAGUGUUUUUCCUUUUCAGUCUGUGGAUGUGGCACUGUUUUGACAAAUGUUGACCACCUUGGGUAAAUGCCAUCUGCAAGGUAGUAUGAUCCCUCGUAUUGGGUACCAUUAACCCAAUAUGUGCAUCUCGGCGAGUUUCCUUGCAGCAGUUCGUCGAACACUGGGGAUUGGGCAAGGACAUUUAGGUCAUUUUGAGCUCCUGGAACACCAAAAAAAGCAUGCCAAAUCCAUGUAUCAAAUGAAGCCACCGCUUCCAAAAUGAUGCUUUUGGCUCCUUUUCUGUCGCCAUAUGCUCCUUGCCACGCACUUGGACAGUUUUUUCCAAGUCCAGUGCAUGCAGUCGAUGCUUCCAAUCAUGCCAGGGAAGCCUCGCAUCUCACCCUUCCUCAGAAGCCUUCGCAUGUCCCUUGACGUGGGUGUCCGGAGGUACUCUUUGGUGUAGAGGGCUUCAAUUGCAGAGCAAAACCGCAUCAGGGACUCCAGAACAGUUGUUUUUCCCAUCCUCGCGAUCUCAUCCACUUGAUCUGCAGAUGCUCCAUAUGCAAGCAUUCGCAAGGAUGCCGUAAUUUUUUGCUCGGGAAUAAGACCUAGAACAUGAAAAGCAUCCUCUUUUUGCACAAAGUAUGAAUCAUUGUUGCAAAUAUCACUCAUGAUUUUGUUGAACAAAUGUCGUUGCAUUCUAAAACGCCGUCUAAACAUGAUCAGGGAAUAUGCUAUUGGGAAUAAAAUAGUCUUCCAAUAGAUUUUUACCUCGUUUUUCCCUUUUUCUAUCGAGGUUUGCAACACGUCUUGGUUUGGCUAUCUGACCCACGGCUUCCAUGACACGGCGGGAAUGUGAGGCCUUCUGCCUUCUAUGGUGAUCAUCCUCAUCCUCCUCCAUGAAGAAAGCCUCAUCUCCACCUCCACCUUCCUCGAGAUUGGCCAAUUCUGCCUGUUGUGCCAACAACCUUUGUUGUUGCUCUUGCAACUGCUUAUACACCCUUCUUGAAGAAGACAUUGUAAUAAGAACUCAAGAUUUGAAAAUGAUGAACAAGGAUUCUGAGCUAAAAAGAAGGAUUGAGCUUGGUGUGAGGAUGGAUGUAGGGAUGUAGGGUUUAUAUGGACAAAAAAAGAAAGGAUGAGGUUCUGGACAAUGCCACGUGGCACUACGUGAUUGGUUGAAAAUCUUAUCGAAAUCUUGGCUAAAUUAUUGUAAACCGGAAGUGACACGUGGCGUGUCAGGAUUGGUCGAGAAUAUUAUCGAAAAUCUAUCCACAAAAUAGUACGUUCGGAUAAUGACACGUGGCAUGACGUGAUUGGUUGAAAAUCUUAUCGAAAUCUUGGCUAAAUUAUUGUACCAUGGAAGUGACACGUGGCGUGUCGGGAUUGGUUGAAAAUAAUAUCGGAAAUCUAUUCACAAAAUAGUACGUUCAGAUAAUGACACGUGGCGUGACGAGAUUGGUUAAAAAUCCUAUCCGAAAUUAAAACUAUUUUAUUUUUUUAUUCUUUAUUUUAAAUGGGUUAAAAAUCUUAUCCGAAAUAAACUUAAAAAAAAAACACACCAAAUAAAUGCGCUGGGUGCUAGCGCAUUUUUUUAGGGGUGGAGAUGCCUUGGCCUAUUACUGUUCACUCCAGUCUAUUACUGUUCAUUUGAGUGGAUAAAUGCGCUGGGUGCUGGCGCAAAGUCCACAGGGGUGGAAUUGCUCUAAAGUCUCGUGUUUUGAUGAGAUGUGGUCUACAAAUGAUAUAGCAUGUGCCCUACGAAAAAUGAGAUCGGAUUACCUAUUUGAAGCUUCUCUAGUAUGAAAAAUUCAAGAGGGAUGUGACGGGUCCGGAAAAUAAAAAAUCACACAUUUUUAUUAAUAAUUUUUUUGUUCGAAUUCGGAAAUGUAUAGAACUGAACAAAUGGAAUAGUAGCUCAGUGAUACCAACAAUUUCAUGUUGCAAAUCACAAAACAAAAAAAAAGGAACUGUUUUACACAAAAUUAAUGACAAUUAGAGUUGAACAACAGAAGCUUGCACUUUAAACGGUUUUUUUCUGCUGCUUUUGGUAUGUAUAUGCUUUUUCCAUGUCUCGAUGUAGUGCCAGUUCACAGGUCAUCAUCCUGGAACAAUGCUUUCGAAACAGAGCCGCACGGCUGGCUACUGUAUUCUCGGUAAUCUUCAUCGUCAUCCCAGCUGCGUUGCGAGCAUGAACGUUUGAUUCCUGUCAUUGGGGUUUCACAUACUCUGUCAUCACAUGAACCUCUAUGAUCCUUCCUUUUAAACAGCUUUCGAAGCGGAUUUAACUUUGGUUUCAAUGGUUUCAGCUGUUUUGGGGCCCAAACUCUCUGCAGAUCGGGCAUCCAUCUUGUGGAUGAAGCGAAUCUCCAAGCCCUCUCUCUCCUCUCUUGAGCUUCAAGUAACUUGCGAGCAUGGUCGUCGUUUUGUUUGAUCUCUUCAGCGCUCGGUCUUCCAAUAUCAGUUUUCAGCGGACGAAGAGACUCACCUUCUGCUGAUAAUGAGUCCCAGAUUCUAUAACUUUCAUCCACUUCGACACUCUUUGGUUUUUCUUUACAGGAUUGAUUGCUAUCCUCACUGUUGAGUAAACUAAUAGGGAGUUCUUCCUCAUCGGCAAACAGUAGCAAAUCCAUUUUUGUAUAGAUUUUGUGAACCACAUCUUCAAGUGUCUCACAGUACCUGAAAAUGUCCAAAUUCAAAGAUUAAUCUACCUGCUUAAUUCUCCAUCUCAAACAAAAAUUGAUCACCUGCAUUUGUACAUCAGGAAACUAAAUGCAGGAAUGAAUUAUUUAAGCUCCAUCAUUUCAAGGAUCAUACCGUAGGCUAAUAUGCUAUUGCAGAAGUUGUAUAAACAUAUUCCUCACUCGUUCAGAAAAACAUGCCUACGAUGUGCGGAUAACUGGCUUAUACCCUGUAAAUCUACACUAAUAAGGAAACACACUUAACUCAUCUAAGAUUAUAAAGAUAAUCACUUUCCUUUUUUAGCAUUAUUGCAAAGGUAAGUAGGAGAGCAUUGGAUGGGCAGUAAUAUCCCACAGGAAAGUGGAAACAGUGGCACCGGAAAUGUGUAUUUGAUGAGACAUGAACGGUAGACUGAAUGAGUGUCGAGAAAGCCAUAACGACUCGGUAAAACAUCCAUUAUAUAAAGUAAAGAAUAAUGCGAAAGGCAGGGGUUUUCAACUCUGGUACAGAUUUAUUACCUGCUUUUUAUGAUCCUUUCAACAUAAUCAUCUACACUCCAGUCACCAAAGAAGCCCUCCAGAUGACAUCGAAUUUUCUCCAAAAACGAGCAAAUCUGUUUUACAAACUUCUGUUUCAUAGAUUCUGCAAUACUUGCACCAACCUCUGAUUGUAGUAUCUCCAUACGGAAAAAUAUCUGCAAUUCAUAUCUAGUACUAGGUGAAGGAAAAGUGUAAAUGUAAUUGGAGACAAAUUUUCAUAUUGGUAGAGUUAUAACUGGAUUAAUGCAUAAUACAGAAGACAGUUCAGUUAUAAAUGAGAAAGGAUACUCUCGAACUAUUUUUCCAGAAGUCAGUCCUUCAGAUUCUGAAUCGGAUGCUUUAACAAACGGGCCGGAGCUUUUCUGCCUUGCAGUGAUAUCCUUGGGAUCUCUCAGUAGAAGUUUUAACACCUCAGCAGAAACCAAAUCAUCAGUAGCACCAGAUUUUACAAGGGAAGUUUGACUCUCUGAAAGGGCUUCUGUUUCCUGCUUUUUAUUUAACCAAUAUAUGGAUGAAUUCACAAGCCGAUAUGCCAAUGCCCCCAAGUCUACUGCUUCAUAUUCAAGCCCCUGUUGUAUCUUGUUGGAUAGACUACUGAAAAAAUCUUCCGACGUUUCUGAUCUAAAUUCCAAAGCAGCUUCAUCUUGUAUGCCAGAAGCCACAGUCAAAGAAUUUUCUCCAAUGGAAGGAGAUGAAGAAAUUGGCUGUUCACUUUCAUGGUGCAAGUUAUCCAACCUAUUGUCCAUCCCUUUUCUAUUGAGCUGGUCUGCCUGGGAUUCUUUCUCCACUAUUAGACCACGAUCGCUAGACUUCUUAAUUUGUUUCAUCCAGCAUUUCAGAAAUCGUAUCUUUUUUGAGUUAUAACAUUCCCUGGCAAAGUAAACCUCUUCCAAACCUAUCUCUGAGUGUUCAAAUGCUGCCUUGUAGAAGGCACUCCAUGUGAGAUCUUGUAGCAACUGUGAAUUUCUUUUGUUAUUUCUCUUCCUUCCCUCCUUGCCUGCAGAAUGCUUAUUGGAUGGCCCAGUUUGGUCCAAAUCAGCAUUCGGUUCGCAAAUCCCAUUCUUCAUAUUUCGACUUGAUUGGUCUGCUUUUGCUCCACCAAUAUCAUGCACUUUUGUCUGAGGGUGAAAUCCUUCAUCCACAAUAAACAGCCGAGCCGAAGAAACUGUGAAAGGUUUGAGAAUUCCGGUAGACGAUACACCACUGUCACUUGAAAGAGACACUAAUGCUCCAUGACCAUUCCUAUAUAAGAAACUCAAGAGAAUCUGCCAAAUGGGUGCUGACUUUCUCUUUGCAUUCUCACCCAAGUCCACUGCUACCACUUCUAGAACCUUAUCUGCAUAAUAAUUGCCAGAACUUUCUUUUCCAUCUUCACCAGGUUUUCCCAAAACAUCACAGACAAGGACUGGAUCAGAUAAGUGCCCCUUGAAUUUCAGAAACUCAUUGUACUUUUGCAAAGCCUUAACCUGGAACUUUGUCACGCCUUUGACAAAAUACCCCCAGAACAAUUCCUUCAGUUUACCACCCUUUGUUUGUGAAUUCAUGAUUUCUAGGGAAAAGAAAGCAUCAUCAGCUGCAUUUCUAGGCAACUUCUUCAAAUCAACCAAUUGAAGAUCACAAACCUUGCAUUCCAAAGGCUUCCCACUUACAUCUAAGAUCUCGAGACUCAACUGCGCAUUGACUUUCUUAUGACUAUCAUCACAACCGAAAAACUUGGAUGAAAUCCCUAUCUCGGGAUAAAUCAAACCAAAGGAAACAAGAGCAGAGCCAAGAAUAAUCCAACCAGUCGAGCAAAAUCCCCAUCCCAAACUCCUAACCCCACUCUCGAAAAACCCAAAUCUCGUCUUAUCCUCAUCGUUCCCAACCUUACCCUCACCACAUUCUAAUUCAUACCUGACAUCAACCCAGCUACACUGAAUAUCUCUACUCACAAAUGCUUCAUUCACAUUCUCAAAGAAACCCCUAAAUCUCUCGGAAAACGCUUUCACAUUUUCCAAAGACUCGUCACCCACACCCACUGUUAGGUCACAACUUCUAAAUUCCCUUUCUCGACCUGCUAGUAGCUGAUAGUAAUGGCGGUGAGUGAGUGGGAAGGAAGAUAGAGAGAGAUAGAAAGUUUCUUGUAAUAUUGUUUUUCUAAUUCAAUCCUGCAGAACAAUGCCACAAUUUGGUUCUUAUACAACCAUCCUUCUCACAAUGCCAGCUGGCUACUAACAAUAACGACAUGUAGCUAAAUAGUUUUCCACUAUUAUUCUAACCACUAUUAUAAUCAUAACACUACCCCUCCCUUACAAAAUAAACCUUGUCCUCAAGGUUAGAAUUAAAGACUGAAAUCAGGAAAUCUGGCAGCAAACUCGUCAUAAUCCUCCCAUGUAGUUUCGUCCUCUUUGUUGUUCUUCCACUGGAUUAACAACUGAACUCCAGCAGCUUGGCCCUUCUUGUAGACCCUCAUUUGUAGCACCUUGAGUGGUUCGAGUGGUAGCAACCCAUCAUCAGUGACAGUAGGCAAGAAUGGAGUUAUGUGACCUUGUCUCCCAAGUGCUUCUUCAAGCAACUAACAUGAAAGACUGGAUGAAUUUUUGAAUUCUCAGGCAGUUUCAAUCGGUAGGCAACCUUCCCAAUAUUUUCCAAAACCUCAUAAGGACCAUAGUACCGGGGAUGAAGCUUAUGGUAAGCAUGAGAUGACAAAGAUUGCAAUUGAUAGGGAAUUAAUUUCAAAUACACCAAAUCUCCUUCCUCGAAAACCCUCUCACUCCGAUGCUUAUCUGCUUGUGUUUUCAUCCGGUUCUGAGCUACUAGUAAAUUGGUCCUGAGCAUUGCUAAUAUUUUGUCCCUAGUUAGCAGCCCUUGCUCCACUAUAUCCAACUUAGCAGUGCCAAGCUCAUAAGACGCGAUGUGUGGUGGUGGAUAACCAUAGACCACUUCGAAGGGGGUGAACUUUGAGGAAGUGUGGUAGGAAGUGUUAUAGCUCCAUUCUGCCCAUGGAAGCCAGUGGAGCCACUUCUUAGGUUGACAGCUAGUGAAGCAUCGCAAGUAAGUUUCAAGGCACCGAUUCACCACCUCUGUCUGGCCAUCACUCUGUGGAUGGUAACCCGAGCUCAUACACAACUUGGAGCCUUGCAACUUAAAAAAAUUCUUUCCAAAAAACACUCAUGAAAAUGGUGUCCCUGUCACUCACAAUGGUAGAGGGCAUCCCAUGGAGUUUAAACACAUUAUCAACAUAUUCCUGAGCUACCAUGCUUGCCGUAUACGGAUGUGCUAAGGGGAUGAAAUGAGCAUACUUGGACAGCCUGUCUACGAUUACCAGGAUCACUGAUUUGCCUUUGCACAGAGGUAAACCAGUGAUGAAAUCCAUGCUUAUAUCCUUCCAUACAUGUGUAGGGAUCGGCAGAGGUUGAAGUAAUCCGGGAGGGGAAAUGGUUUCAUACUUAUUUUGCUGGCAUUCCCGACAUUCAGCCACCCAUGACCUGAGAUCUUUCUUCAUUCCUACCCAAUAGAAGCCCCUCUUCAAUAUCUGAUAAGUCUUUAGAACCCCUUUCAUGGCCUGCACUUGGAGAAGAGUGAUGUUCCUCAAAGACCUUCCUUUUCCAACUUGAAUCUGGGCUAAGCACGAUCCGUCCUUUGUAUUUGAGGAAACCGUUGUCUAAAUGGUACUUGGACAGAUUGGGGUCAAUUGCAGCAGCUUAAGAAUAUGCUAACACCUUCUGCACCUUGCUUUGAAUCCAACUAUCUUGUUCUAACCCUCUCCGAAGUUCAUCUAGCCACCCGAAGUAGGGGUAUGUGAUAGCUUUGCACUCCAAUAAGUCACUGAGAGGUUUCUCUUGUAAUUGAGACGAACCAACUACUCGAGAUAAGGCAUCAGCCAUUAUGUUGUCAUUGCCUUGCCUAUAUUGUAUCUCAUAAUCAAAUCCCAACAACUUGGCCACCCAUUUCUGUUGGAACGGGGUAGUAGUUCUUUGACUCAGAAAGUAUUUCAAGCUGCUAUGAUCUGUCUUUAUGAUGAAAUGGCGCCCUUGAAGGUAGUUUUGCCAUUUUUUGAUAGCACUAACAAUGGCAAUCAACUCUCUUUCGUAUGUAGACAAUGCUUAAUUCCGUGGUCCCAAUGCUUGACUUGUGAAAGCUAUAGGUCUGCCAUUCUGUUGCAACACAGCCCCUAUUCCAUUGCCAGAUGCAUCACAUUCCAAAGUGAAGGGAAUAGCAAAAUUGGGUAAGGCUAAUAGCUGCGGAGAAGUCAUUGUUCUUUUUAAUGCUUGGAAAGCUGCCGUGGCUUCAGGGGACCAAUUGAAACCAUCAUUUUUUGUUAGUUGAUACAAGGGUUGACACACCUUGCCAUAACCGGGGAUGAAUUUUCUAUAAUACCCUGAGAGCCCGAGAAAUCCCCUCAACUCUUUGACAUUUUUCGGUAUCGGCCAAUCUAUAAUUGCUUGAAUUUUAGUAGGAUCUGCAGCCACCCCAUCACGAGAGACGAUGUGCCCCAAGUAUUCCACCUGUGAUUGGCCAAAAGAGCAUUUCGAUUUCUUCACUGCUAAUUGGUGUUUCUGUAAUAACUCCAAAGUUUGGUGCAAGUGUGAAAGAUGGUCCUCCCAGGUCUUGCUGUACACCAAAAUGUCGUCAAAGAACACCAAGAUGAAUUUCCGGAGGUAAGGCUUAAAAAUGUCAUUCAUAAGGGCUUGGAAAGUGGCAGGAGCAUUUGUAAGACCAAAGGGCAUGACUAAGAAUUCAUAAUGCCCUUGGUGAGUUCGGAAGGCAGUCUUUUCCACAUCGGAGGGACAUACGGAUCUGAUGAUAUCCAGACCUAAGAUCAAGCUUAGAAAAAUACUGAGCGCCAUGCAAUUCAUCUAACAAAUCAUCCACUAAUGGAAUAGGAUAUUUAUCCUUAAUGGUAAUGCUGUUCAAUUCACGAUAGUCCAUGCAAAGCCUCCAAGUGCCCUCCUUCUUCUUGACCAAGAGAACUGGAAAUGAAAAGGGACUAUGACUUGGCUGGAUGAAUCCAGCAUCUAAAAGUUCUUGCACAGCUCGUUCAAUCUCAGUUUUUUGCAUAGGACCAUAAUGGUAUGGUCUAAUACUCGGAGGCUUGGAACCAGGAAGCAAUGGAAUCUGGUGAUCAUGAGCCCGUGGAGGUGGUAAGGUAGUAGGAGGCUUAAAAACCGUUUCAAAUUGCCUGAGCAUACCCUGCAGCUCAAUGAGUUGCUGGGGAUUCAAGUUGGAUGCCUCCAACGGAUUAGUUUCCAUUGAAUACAAUAAGACGCCCCAAUUAGAGUAUUUAAACUCUUUUUCAAGCUGUUGACAAACAGUAUCCUGUACCAAGUACGCUGGAGCAGUGGAAUGAACAAGUUUAUAGUGGUCUUUUCCCACAGAAAAUUCCAUGGUUAAGUUGUGAAAAUCCCACAAAACUGGACUCACAGAUGAGAGCCAUUUCACACCCAAUACAACAUCGCAACCCCCUAGAGGAAGUGCGUAGAGGUUAGUGUGGCAGCGAUAUGCACCCAAUUCCAAGGGAAUUUGUUGGCAACAGCCUUGACUUCGGACUUUACCCCCAUCGGCAAUCAUGACAUCGAAGGGUUUGGUGGUGUGACAAGGCCACCCGAGCUGCUUAAGCAACCUAGAAUCCACAAAAUUGUGGGUGCUACCAGAGUCAAGUAGUAUGGUAACAGGUAGAGUGUGAAGCACACCAGCCACUUUCAUGGUUUGUACCGUGGAGGGCUCAGUAGUGCCAUAGAACGCACAAGCACUCAACUCCAUGCUUGAUAGGGAAAGAUCAAUAGGCUCCAGUAAUUCACACUCUGUAGGUUCCAGCAAUUCACACUCGGUAGGCUCCAACUCAUUACAAACAUCAAGCAUAAGGAGCUGUUUAUUAUGGACACAUUUGUGCCCUCGAACCCACUUUUCAUUACAGAACCAACACUCGCCCUUGUCCUUCUUCCGUUGAACUUCCUCGGGGGUAAGUUUCUUAUAAGGGAGGGUUUGAGGAUGAGGCCUGGUAAGGGAAGGUAGAGGUAAGGCGAGAGGAGGUUUGAGUGGGGGAUGAGGUUUUGGGGGAGAUGGUUUCAAGUCCGUGAGUUUAGCAUUUAAUUGGGCAGCAAAGGAAAUGGCCUCAUGAACUGAGGAAGGGCGAAGCAAUUUAACAUCGUAACGCAAUUCCUUCUUGAGACCCCCCAGAAAGCAACUCUUUAAGAGAAUAGGACCAACAUCAUAGGUUCGAGUGGCAAGGCGCCGAAAUUCCACAAUAUAAUCACGAAGAGGGCCGGUUUGGCGGAGUUUGAAUAGCGACUCAGUGCAGUCCUCAAACUCCGGUGGACCAAAUUCCUGGCACAAAGCAGUCGUGAAUUCACCCCAGGUGGGAGUGGAAUGUACACAAUCGCGCCAACGAAACCAGUACAGCGGCUCAUUCUUGAAGUGGAAGGAGGCGGUCAAAACCUUCUGAUUCUCCGGAGUGUGAUAAUAAGCAAAAUAUUGUUCGGCCUUAUAGAUCCACGCUGAGGGAUCAUCACCGUCGGAGAAACGGGGAAAAUCCAGACGAUGUGACCGCUGCGGGCGAGGAGUAAAACCGCCGCCUUCAAAAGAAUCACGGCGCUGAAACCGUGGAGUGUCGAGACAACGAAAAUCGCCAUCAUCGGUCACAAUGGGAGGAGGAAUAUGUGGAUCUGGCACUAGAGGUGGUGGUGCAGUCGAAGAGCCAGCACCGCCUUGAGGACCAGGGUCGCGAUGGAGAUGCUCCAGGAGAAGGGCGAAUUUGGUUUCGAGAGCGGUGAAGCGGGUGUCGGAAUUGGCGUUGGAAGUCUGGAUCAGCUGAGGAAUGGCUCCCAUGGCUUCCAGAGUAGCUUCCACGGCGGAGAGGCGCGAUUCAACAGUGGACAUUCGAGAAUUUGUGGUGUGGCGGGGCAUACAAGAGGGAGACUCAGGAUCGAGAGGCUGAUACCAAUUGUUAGGUCAAAACUUCUAAAUUCCCUUUCUCGACCUGCUAGUAGCUGAUAGUAAUGGCGGUGAGUGAGUGGGAAGGAAAAUAGAGAGAGAUAGAAAGUUUCUUGUAAUAUUGUUUUUCUAAUUCAAUCCUGCAGAACAAUGCCACAAUUUGGUUCUUAUACAACCAUCCUUCUCACAAUGCCAGCUGGCUACUAACAAUAACGACAUGUAGCUAAAUAGUUUUCCACUAUUAUUCUAACCACUAUUAUAAUCAUAACACCCACAUUCGGGAAUUCUGUCAAACAGUUUGCAGACACACAGACGGGCGAAAACAGAACUACCAAAUUAGACCUCACAGCAACCGAAUCACUAUUCGAGAACAUACCCAUCAUUGGAUCGCAGAUCACGGGGUCCCAGGCGUAGUCGUGCACGAGCUGGCGCAAGGAGACGGCGAAAUGCGGGGAGGGAAUUGAGGGUGUGGAAGAGGGAAUUGAAAGUGGGGCCGGGGAGGUGGAAAGAGAGGGAGAGAGAAGUGGGGAGCUUGGAGGAGGAGAGCAGCGGAGAGAGGGAGGAGAAGAAGGGUCUGAAGGCGAAGAGAGAGGCGGAGAGAAGAAGGAAGGAGAGGAUGGUUUUGACGGCGGCGAGGAGGGCGGUGAGAAAUGGAGCUGGGUUUUGGAGGUGGAGGAAUGGGUUGAGGUCUAGGAGGAGGACGAUGCGCACAGUGCCUGCCUAUCAUGUAAAACCAUUGACAAUGAUACAAGACAGUUUAUUUGGACCUAUAAAACUAUAUUUAUGUAAAACUAUAUUUUAUUCAAUUUCAAAAAUUAGUACAUGCAAUGACAUGUUUGAUCGUAAAAAAAAAAAAAAUGAGAAAUUUUCAGUGUAUCAGAAAUACGAAUCGGUAAAAAAUCUCUCCAAAAAUACAUAUGCAUGUUUUAUUCAAAAGGAAAGGAAUGAGGCGCCAUCAUCCCUAACACACUUUAUUACAAGUAGUAUCAUCCAUUGAGGCAGAGAAGUUAAUUAGAUGCUGUCCUUAAUGGAUGCACUAUAACCGUUGUCAUAGAACCUGUUCCAAAGCAUAACUCCUCCGUACUUGGCCGAAUUCUUAAUUGUUGGAAGGACUUGUGACUUGAGAGCAUCAGCAGGAAUAAAUCCGCUGCGCGCGGCAUCAGUAGACGCCGGUAUCCCCAAGAACACCUGGGUGGCCGAAACCGAGGCCCAUCGGUUCCAACUGCUCAAAAGAGCGUCGGCAUUACCGUCUGCAUACUGGCAUUGGGCUAGGGGGUUGUUGUAGAACUGAACCCAAACGUAGUCAAAUAAACCGGUUGGAUAGCGCCGUCUAGGUGAGUAUCCGGGAACGGGCAUUGUGGAGCUGCGGCUAAAUAGACCGUUUUUCCCUGUCCGUUGUGUCCUUUGAGUGACCUGGCGAGCUCGUCGUAGAACUGCGUACCACCCAACUCAAUGUCGAAAUCGACGCCGUCCAAAACCGCGUCCCCAAGCGGGCGCGAAUCUGACUGACCACCUAGGAA